UUUGGCAAAUUAACUCUCAAAACACGGUGAAUUAUUCACCGUCUGCUUCAUAAUUUUUUGGGAAAGAGAAAAAAAUAAGGUUGUGAAAAUUGUACGUAGAUUAUACGGAAAAUAAAAAAAGUGAGGUUGUUAGGAUUGUGUGUGGAAUAUUAGAAUUUUUGUUUGAUUGUUAGAAUUAUAUGGAUAGAUUAAAUUUUUUUGAUUGUUAGGAUUAUAUGGAUAUAUUAUUAGGAUUUUCAAAUUGUUAAGAUUAUAUGUGAUGUUUGAUUAUUACGAUUGUAUGGAUAGAUUAUUAGUAUCUUUUUGAUUGUCAGGAUUGUAUGGAUAGAUUAUUAGAAUUUUCAGGCUGUUAAGAACUUAAGAUUAUAUGUGAUUUGUUGAAAUAUUUAUGUGGUUGUUAGGAUUAUAGAAAGAGACAAUAAAUAAGUGAAAGGUGGUGAAUGAUUCACCGCUUUUCUGAGAAAUUAGAAUCUUUAUGAAAGCGGUGAAUCAUUCACCGUCUUUAACAGAUUAGUUUUUUAAAUAUAAUUUUGGCAAGGUUAUUUCGCAAAUAAUAAAAUUUUAAAAGGUUAUUUUAUAAAAAAGUCCUUUAUAUACAUGUGUUAUUGUCCAAUCAAUGAUACCAUUGAGGUCGUCUGAAUCUUUUGAUGAUAAUAGAGAAACUUAAGAGUUAAGAUGAUAUUACAAAACAACAAAUUUGUUUCGUGAAUUUGCAUGUGCUGCUCGAAUAACCACAACAGCAGCUUACUCGUUGUAUUUUUAAGUGGAUCUUGUUUAUUCUCCUGGUUUAUCAUCUUAUCAAAUAUUCUUACUCUUGUUCUCGCAUUCUGUUUUGUCUACUCUACAUGCCUACUACAUUGUAAAUUUGAAGAUGAGCAACUUUUCUAAUAAAACUAUAUUUCUUUCAGAGCAAGAUAAUUUGUUUUGAUUAUAAAUCUUAAUAAACUGAUUUGCUAACAAAAUGUUUAGGCCUGGUUCGGUAUUGUUGCCAUUUUUUUUUGUUUUUUCAAACGUUAGUUCUGUAUAAUUUGAUGUGUUGAAAGAAAGACUAUUGUUUUACUGUUAUAGUUGGUUAGUUUACAAUGCAUCCGAUCAAAUGGUAGAUGACGACUUAUUUUUUUUAAAAAAAAUUGGAAGUAAAAAGAAGUUGUUUUCAACAUUUUUUGCUUUUUGUUGUCAAAUAAACACUUUGAAUAAAAGGAUUGCUAGCAAUCCACUAUCCACUCCUACACUUUUUUGAUAUACAAAAAUUUUAUAUUUAAAAAAAUUAAAAAACAAACACUUACCAUUUUUCUUGAACAUCACUUGACUUGUUUAGUUGUUUUUACUUGUUGGCAUUUAGAUAUUGAAGUAAAGGCAGCCUUGAGUAAUAUUGAAAAUGGGGUUCAUCCAUUGGAAGCACUCAACAAAUCUAUAAAGAACCUCGCUGCACCAAUGCAAAUCUCAGUGAGAUUGAUUCUUUAUUUUCUACUUGAUUAUCUCAAACAUUCUUUUAAAUAUGCUUUUCGUAUUUACUUUUAGCAAAUGUCCUUGACACAUCUAUUGGACUUCUAUUAUUAUUUCCCUUUGAUAUGCAAACUUUUGAAAUUCUCUCUGGUUUCUUGUACAAAGCAUCUACAAUUAUGGAGCACAAUGAAAUUAGCAUUCUUCAGUACUCGAAGGAUAAAUGGAUUAAAAAAAUUUGAGCAUUAAAUGCUUGCUUACUCUGGGGAAACUCGUAUGAUGGAAACACACAUACUGCAAUCUCAAUUAAACCCCUAUUAUGGCCUUGGAGCAUGUGUACAGUUGGUGUUUACCUUAAUUGAAAAAUUAUUGGUCUUGCUUCUUUGACAUAUUUCUCUCUUUUAUAAUCAUAUUUCUCACUUUUGGCUUUCGAACUAGAAGAAUGCCUUGUACUAAAAAUGAUUUUGACGGGCUUCUUGCAGUGUUUUCUUGAUAAAUUACCAAGGGACACAUUUUCAUGGAAAGUCGGCCUUGUCAAUUCUGCUGCUCAUUUCAUUAUGCGAUCUCCCAUCUGCAUGCAGUUGAAGCGGAAGUCUUACUACUAGCCAGGUCGAAAACUAAAAGGAAAAAGAAAAAUGAAAAAAGAUUUGUUUUCCAUGCCUUGUCUCAGCUUGAUAACAUCUUUGAGAUACUAAAUAACUAUAAACGAUUAUUUACAUAUAUAGCAUUGCAAAAUUAUUUAUUUGAAUUCCACAUGUCCUUCAACAACUUAAUUUCUUUUUGUAUAUAUAUAUAUAGAGAGAGAGAGAGAGUCCGGCUGGGAUACUAUCGAGUUUUUCACCGUUAGAUUUAAUCCUUUGAUUAUUUUCACCCGUUAGAUUAUACUAUUCAACCAACCACCCACUCAACCCUAGGGGCCCACAUCAACCUAACCGCACAUUUUUCAAUCCAAGGGCUAAAAAACUAAUAGCACCAAUAACUUUGUGCUAUUAAUAGUAUUCUAGCCUAGUUCUAUAUAUAUAUAUAUAGAGAGAGAGAGAGAGAGAGAGAGAGAGAGAGAGCUAGUCUCCUAUACUAUCUGUAAUACCGGGGCUCUAGUACUAUUGCCUCGUUUUCGAUCUUAGGGUGUUCAAAUCAACGAUCCACACCGUUAAAACUGAUCUAGGGUAUUUAAAGUUUUUAGAAAUAAAAUUUAAUAUUUUUUCGACAUAGUUUACUUUAUGAUCAAACCAUUUCAAAGUUGUCAAUUUUCAAUGGCUACUAUGGCAAGUUUGGAGUUUAACGGUAUAGAAGAAUCUAAAUUUCUUCAAAUUUUGAUAGAAAAUACUUUAAACUAUCUAGAUUAAGGUUAACAUUCUUGAUCUUGAAUUUAAAAGUCCUAUGCUCAAAUUUUAAAGAAUAUUCAAUUUCCACCGUCCAUUUUGACAUAAUUUAUUUACUAAGUAAACGAUGUCGAAAAAAACUAAAAUUUUAUUCCUAAGAACUUCAUAUACCCUAGAUCAUAUUUAACGGUGUGGAUCGUUAAUUUGAACACUCUAAGAUUGAAAACAAGACAUAGUACCGGAGCUCCGAUACUAUAAAUAGUAUAGUAGCCUAAUUCUAUAUAUAUAUAUAUAUAUAUAUAUAUAUAGAGUUUGACUGGGCUACUAUCGGUUAGUAAACUGCUCAGUUUACUACCGAUUUUUUUUGAUGAUAGAGCUUCCAAAUCGACGAUCGACACCGUUGAACAUGAUCUAGACAUUUAAAUUAUCUAGAAAUCAAAUUUCAUUGAUUUUUGGCAUCACUAACUGAACGAUCAAAGGGUCACAAAAUCUAUAAUUUUAUGGCCAUAUGGUGCGUUUGCUCGUUUAACGGUAUCGAAGAGUUCAAAUCAACUAAAUUUUUGUUGAAAAAUUCUUUAAACUAUUUAAAAUAAGAUCUAGACUCUAGAUUCUCAAAUAUAAAAAUUGUAUCAUCACUUUUUGAAGAUAUUCAUUUCCAGCCGUUCAUUUUUCAGUUCGCUUGAUGGACAAGAGAACAAUAUCGAAAUGUGUGAAUUUGAUUUCCAGAUAGUUUAAAUAGUUUAGAUCAUGUUUACGCGUGCCGAUCAUCAAUUGGAAGCUCUAUCAUCGAAAACAAAUCGAUAGUAAACCGAGCCGUUUUACUACCGAUAGUAUUCUAGCAAAAUCUCUCUCUAUAUAUAUAUAGAGAGUUGAGCUAGAAUAUUAUCGAUAGCAAACGGGCUCCGUUGCCACCCAUUUGUUUUCGAUGAUGGAGUCUCCAAAUCGGACGAUCGGCACCGUUGACAUGAUCUAUUACUUAACCUACUAUAUAUAUAUAUAUAUAUAUAUAUAUAUAUAUAUAUAUAUAUAAAGAGAGAGAGAGAUACUAUACUAUUAUCACUACGGAGGCCCUUGUACUCAUAAGUUGUUUUCGAUGAUAAAGCUUCUGAAUCGAUGAUUCAUACUGUUAAAUAUAAUCUAAACCAUUUAAAGUACUUAGAAACCAAAUUUUGUAAUUUUUUGGAAUUAUAAUAGAAUCUAUCAAGCAGGUAGAUAAUAAAUGGCCAAAAUUGAACAACCUACUAAAAAUAGAGGAUCGAGUUAUCCAAUUCACGAUUGGAGUUAUUGAUCUAAAUAGUGAAUAGAAUUUUCUGUCAAAAUUCAACCAAUUUGUUUAAUAAAAAAAUCAUGAAUUCGAUUUCUAAAAUGUUUAAAUUCUCUAAAUUUUGUUUAACGAGAUGGAUCGUUGAUUCGGAAGCUCUAUUAUCGAAAACAGCAUAUUAGUACAAAGGCGAUCGUGCUCAUAAUAGUAUAGUAAUCGGACUCUCUCUCUCUCUCUCUCUCUCUCUCUCUCUUUAUUACAGUGUUAAUUUGCAAGAAAAUGAGUAAAAGCAUUAAGUUGGCCCCAAGUAAAAAGCCUUCAUAUAUAUUUUUCAUUAACUACUAGAGCUCUUAUAACUUAGAAAGUACAACUGGUCAACAGGCCUCAACUGCAUAUGGCCUUCCCUUUCAUAACUUAAUAAAAGAGUCCUUAUUACAUUUAAGAAAAAUUAUUUUACCUAGUGUUGAAAUAUGAGAAUGAGAUUAGUGCUUAAAAAAAAAACUAGUACUUUUACUAGCUACUUAGCUAGGAUCGAUCUAUUUUGAAAACUUAAGAUUCAUAUAACGUAAAACAUAUUAAAAAGGGAAAACUUCAAAAACCCCCCUGUGGUUUCCAACUUUUUCACUUUAGUACCCUGUGGUUUAAAGUGUAUCAAUUUGCCCCCCCGUAGUUUUGUUUUUAUCUUUUCUAUAGCUUUUCUCUUAAUAUUUCGUUAAAUUAUAUACAGAAAAUCAUCAGAUAUCUAUCUAGAUUUACCGAAUAUUUACUUUAGUACCCUUUAAUUUUAAUUUUGUCACUGAUUUAAGAAAAAAAAAACAAUAAAAUUGAUAAAAAAAAGGAGAAAAACGAAACCACAGGGGGGCAAAUUGAUACACUUUAAACCACAGGGUACUAAAGUGAAAAAAUGCGAAACUACAGGGGGGGGGGGGUUUCUGAAGUUAUCCCUAUUAAAAAUUACUAAGUGUCUAUCAAAAUUCAUUCAUAGAAUCUGAAAAUAAAUAUAGAAUUUUGAAGUAAAUGAUGUAUAGAUCAGCUUGAUCUACUUAUUGUAUUUUCUUACCAUCAAUUUCUGUUGGAGAAUCUUAGAUUCUUCUCGACAAAUUGUAAGAUUUAGUGAACUUUACCAAAUUUCCAAAUAUAGGUAAUUAAAAAUUUGAAUUAAAUGAUUUGAUCAACUAGAUGACAGCCAUCCUUCCACUAAGUACUACAUGUAGAUUUUUGUGGUAACUUGGUGGUUCUGGCUAUUGUACUACAUGUGUAGUCUUAUCUUGUAAGAUUCUAACCUACCAUUGCUCAUAUGUUACAUAAUAAGAAGUUUGGAUCGUUUUGUAUCACCAAACAAUCUUUGAACACAAAACCCUAGUUAGACCUAGAAAGCAAGAAAGGGCAGUGCAAAAGUGUGCCAGUCAGAGGCCCUUGAUGCCAACGGAAUGCAAGCCACAUGUCUGCAUGGCACCAUGUCUUGCCGACUAGGGCUCAUCACAGCCUCAAACUAAAGAAAAACCGGUUACUGGCAUGGCUCUGGCUGCUGGAGAACGGUGUUAUAGUCAUUAUACAUGCCUAUGCACUUAAAAUCUUGGUAUCAAACAUUUUCAUCCAUUGAAAAGUAAUCAUGCUUUUUUUGGUGUUGUUACUCAGCUGCCGCGACAAUUUGCUUCCUAGCAAAGUUGAAGCUGGAAGACUUCAAAAUUUAUUAGCCAACUGCAAAGUUCAUUACUUCGAGGAUCAUGGACACAAUCUUCUUCUGGUAUGUAAAUAGGAGCUAAUCACACAUGAGUAUACACAGGCGUGCAUGCGUGAGAGAGAGAGAGAGAGAGAGAGAGAGAGAUCUAAGUUGUCCUUUUUCAACUAAGAACACUAGAAUAUCUCCAUAGCCACUAUAAGUUUUCUAAAUAAACAUAUUACGAUGAGUUAGAAUGCAAGUUCUAGUCGUGGAAUAUUAUAUAGAAACGUGCGAUUCAGUUAACUGGCAUGCGUGUCACAAGGUCUUCGUUAUUUAUCAGAGUCGAUUCAUUUUUUUUUUGCUAUUGAGCUUUUCGUAUGUUAUCAUCACUCUACAAAUUUGGCAAAGCUUGUACUAUCCUCAUAUAAUACAGGAACACGGUGUCCAUUUGCCAACUCUUCUUAAAUGUUCCAACAUGUAUCGUCAUUCAAGGAAGUAUGACCGCAUAUCUGAUUUCCUACCACCAACUUUGACAGAACUGAGAGAAUUGGAUAAAGCAACCAGGUAAUGAUCUAUGAUCUAUUUACUUAAUCAAAGAAAUAUCAAAAUAUAUUACCUUGCAAAAACUAUUCUUUUUUUUUUUAUUUUACUUAUGGUCAACUUCAAACUGACCUUCUGUCAAGGUUUUAAGUGCCCGUCAGCACGAGCCGUAUCCACCGUGCCGUACCGUGCCAACAAGAUACCGGCACGAUACAAACCCUGUGCCGAUAGCACAGCUCAAAACACUCUAUUCUUUAAAUCAGUAAAUAAUUUCCUCAAUAAAGUUUAAAAGAUGUGAUAAAAAGAAAAAAUAAAUAGUUAGAAUGUUUUGUUGCUAAAGAAAAUAAAUAUUUCAUACUAUUAUGUGUCGGCACACAAGAAUUUUUUUGACCGGCACGCAUCGGCACGGCUCGGUACGCAUCAUGCCGUACCGUGCCGACAAGUUUCCGGCACGACCCCGUGCCACGGCACUUAAAUCCUUGCUCUUGUGAUUUGGCUCGUUUUUGUUUCGCCACCGUGUUGUUCAAGAUGUUUUACUUUACCCCCCAUGGUUUAGCUUAUUUUUACUUUGCCACCCCGUGGUUUCAAAAGUUGCACUUUGUCUCCCUGUGGUUUAGCAUAUUUUUCACUUUGCCGCCCUAUAGUUUUUUUUGAAACUUUUAAUUUGCCACCCUGAAGAAUUUUUUGGUGAAAUAAAAUUUAAACCACCAAGGGGCAAAGUGAAACUUUUUGAACCACAGGGUGGCAAAGUGAAAAAAUGAGCUAAGCCACAAGGGGAGUUUACCCUUUUACUUGCAUAUCCCUACAAAAUCUUAGUAUUUGCUACUUGCCCUUACGAGGUCGUACCUGCAAAAAUAUCUCUCCUGAAGAGACCUAUUUUAAUACAAAACCAACUUUUCUCCAUGAAUUGGAUGACUCGUCAACUUAAGAUAAGGGUAUUUUUGUCAAAAAUCGCGCUCUUGGGGGGUUUAUAUGAAAAUUCAAAUUUUACGGGGCCUGUUACAUAUCUAAACAGAUUAAUUUACAGGAAUGUAAAUGUACAAGCUUCUUAAAUAGAUCAUUUUGCCAGGAUGUGUACAAAAAAAAGCCCAUUAAAUCAAUAUCCUGUGAGAUUAAUUGUGCUACCUUUGAGUAACAGCUCUGGUUCAUGCAAACAGAGACUUGUACCAAGCUACUAGUCCAGUGAUGUUCUCAACCAAUGAAAAUGGCAAGAUAGUAACUUGCAAGUGUUGCUUUGAUAUUCUGGUCAUGGUUAUUUUCUGUAGGACGCGGUGUCUACAAAUAUUCCUGUAAUUUAAUGCAUGAGAAUAUGAUAGAAUGUUUGAUAGCCCUUUUCUGUUCCUGGAUGGCCCAGGGUGAAGAGCACAAGUUAUUUCGGCCAAGUCGGCCUGAAUUUGUAAGAAUGGCAGCUAAAUUUGGGGCAAAAAUCAUACCGUUUGGAGCAGUCGGCGCAGAUGAUUUAGUGGAAGUAAGCUAUGAGUUCCAAUUACGCUCCCAACUCCAUUGCAGUAUUUACUGAUGUCUUUAUAUUUCACGUAGAUAUUACAUUAUCGAUCGCUGAACCUCGAGUGGAAUUUCAUUUGGGUCACCAAAUUUAUAUUUGUUUCAAGUAAAGCAUUCAACUUUAAUUUCCAUUUCCAUUUCCAUUAGGUGACUUCGUUAAAUUCCCCGUAACUUUUCCAACAAAACGAUAAAUUAUGUGUUAGGUGGUAAUUCAGUUAUUAAAUCGUCUUUUUAGAGAGAGAUGACACGAUACUAAUCUAUCUAUUAUUGGUGGUGAUUCGAGUGCUCAAUCGGCAGUAAAUCGAUCACCUCUGCGAGAUGAUAUAACCGAUGAAUAAUAAUAAGAUAAUAAGAAUUUUGAGAUGAUACAGCAGUUGAAAUAACUAGCAGCCUUCUUCAUAUCUUUUGUUGGUCGCGUAGUUAGCGGCUAAAUUAUACUUCAUCAGAAAUCAGUCGAAAUUAAACUAGUCACCUGAUUGAGACCGAAAUUAAAGUUCAACCCUUUGAUUGAAAUGAUUAAAGUUCAGUGACGUAAAUGAAAUUUAAUCAAAAGUUCAGUGACCUGUGUUGUAGCUUACCCUUUUGCUAAAUGCCAGAGAAAGUGCGGACUUUUUCUUUGUGGAUUUAAAGAAAAACAUGCUUUCUUUUCUAUUCGCAUUUGCUGCAUUAGAAGUUCUCAUAACUGCAACCAUCAACCCUUAAAUCCAACAAUACUGGGUUAUAUCAUAAAUAAUUAUUUAUGAACUAUUAAUUCUAUGUUAAUACAUUUUGUAUUAGCUAAAAAAGAAACACAUUAUUCGAAAAAACAAUCUCAACCAAUUAAUGCCUGUAGAAAUCCAUCUGAAUGUCAGCGUACCCGUCAAGUGAACCAUUAAAAUCUUUAUGUCGUUUAAGUAUUAAAUCUUGUUUACAACGAAAGUAGAAUUGAACUAACCAGAAGAUUAUACUGCAUUUUCACUCAUGGAAGUAUAAUAUGUAUGACAGGAAUAAUGACUGCAUUUUCACUCAUAGAAUUGAACUAAGCUUUUUUCACUUAUCUCAAUUAUAAGAUGCAUGAAAAUAGUUCUCAGGUGAGAGUUUCUUAGAAUGAAAUGGAUAAAUUAUCAUUCGUUUCUGACCCCUCCUCUUCUCUCUUAAUGAACCAUUUCGAAUAUAUCAACAGCAAGAAUUUAAGUACCGUGGCAUGGGGUUGUGCCAAGAAUUUGCUUGCCGUGCCGUGUGGAUGUGUGUCGGUCACAAAAAGACAUGUUUGCCGACACAUAACGACAUGAAAUAUUUAUUUUCUUUAGCAUCAAUAUAUUUUAAUUGCUUAUUAUAUAUCUCUAUUAAAUCUUUUGCCCUUUAUUGAAAUAACUGCGUGCUAAUAUCAAAGGAAAAAGGAUGUCGAGCGUGCCAUCGGCAUCGGGGAUGUAUCAUGCUGAUAUCUUGUCGGCACAGUAUGGUGGGGCAUGGGCCGUGCCGAUGGGCACUUAAAAUCUUGAUUAAUGAGCAGGAGAGGUAGUAGUAAAGACUCCAAUAUAAAACAAAAAUUGAUUCCUUAAAAGUAUAAGAAAAUUUUGUUUUUGAUUAACCAUAUUUCAAUUUCUUGGACUAGUGUGCCAAAAUAUUGAUUUUGAUCUGAAACUAUUGAAGUUGAAUUCGAUGAAAUAGAUGUACUGUACAACUUCGAAUUUAACGCGAUAGAUAAAUUACUUUGUCAAAUUUAAAUUUGAUUAGGGAUGGGAAACAAAAGAGCGGACAUCACACGUACGAAUAAACACAAACCUGCUGAGGAUGUUAUUUAAUAGUUUGACAUUUCGCUCGUAAUUCUAAAGUAGUUAAGAAAUCAAUUGGAAAUUCUCGUGAUAACAGAGUGUAAGCAUCUAAAUGGCUUGGCUAAUAGUGAUAGAUCUAGCUACUUUUCGGAGAGAAAUACAACACAAACCUGCUGGGGAUGUUAUUUCAAAAUUCACGUCCUCUUGUAUAGUUUCUGGAUUGACAUUUUUUUUUAUUGAAUAUUUACUCGGAUCACAAUUCAGGAAAUUGUGGUUUUGAGACUUUUUGUAUUUCCAAUCUCUUCGAUGGUAAAAAUUGCAAAUAGCGGCCUAGCAGGAAGAACAUGAUAUACACAACUUUCUAGUCAUAUUUCAAUGCUUUUUCAUUACUACCUCAUUUCUCAUUCACUGCAACUUUUUUUUUUUUUUUUUGUUCGUCUCCUUUCUAAAUGGCAUCAUUAAGUUGCUUAAUGUCAUGCUCGGCUUUUUCUCCUGCAGUUGCUUUUCUACCAUGAUGACAUAAUGAGCCUUCCUUUCGGAAAAGACAUGAUAAAAGCUUAUACCCAAAAUUUGAAGUUGAGGUAACGUUUCUAUAAAUUUACUCGCUAGUUUGGCUUGGUUAGAUCUUCUGCAGAAGUGCUGGACGACUUAAAAGAGUUAUUCAAUGAAAGUUCUCUUAUCUUAAAAGUUUUUCCUCGCAUCAAAAGCCGCAAAUUGGAGCUUCUGCUUUUUGUUUCCCGAACAAAAUGGUCUCCAGAAACUUCUGCUUGAGGGAGUGGCGAAUGAUCUGCUCCGUAAGCGGGCGCUUGAUCUCCUUCUAGUGAUCGCCAUCGUCAGUACAUAUUAUUUUUAAAUCCUUUAACAUAGGGAUGCUUCUGUAGGGAUGAUGGCCGCGAUGUAUUCUUCCCAGGAGUAUAUCCAAAAGUGCCUGGGGAGGUUCUACUACCUAUUUGGUAAACCCAUUACCACAAGCGGAAAGGAAAGUGUGGUUACAGAUAAGAAUGCGGCGAAUGACUUGUACUUGGAAGUUAAGUCUGACGUCGAGCGCAUUAUUCGCUACCUUCUAAAGAAAAGGGAGGAGGACGUCUACAGAAGUGUCGUCGCACGAUCUUUAUAUAAAGCUGUUCGGGGAUCUAAUUGUCAAAUUCCGACAUUCGAACCUUGAUUAUAUAUAUAUAUAUAUAUAUAUAGAGAGAGAGAGAGAGUUUAGCUGAAAUGUUAUCAGUAGUAAACGUGCUCUAUUGCCACCUGUUUGGUUUCAAUGAUGGAGCCUCCAAAUCGACAAUCGACACCAUUGAACAUGAUCUAUACCACUUGAAGCAUCUAGAAACCAAAUUUUAUGUUUUUUCGAUAUUGUUCUCUUGUUCAUCAAGUGGACACAAAAAUAAACGGCUGAAAAUAAAUAUCCUUUAAAAAGUGAUUGGAGGAAUUCUGUAAUCAAGAUCAGGAGUAUAGUAUAUAUGUUUGAUGUUGUAUUUGAGUUUGUAUUUUAAAAUUUUUGAUUUAAUGUAAUAUGUUUUGAAAUAUUGUAAAGAAAAAUUAUUGUUUCGGAUUUGGGUUUCGAUUUUUUGAUCGGGUUUGAAUUUGAAUAUGGAUUUUUAAAAUCUGUUGGAUUCGAAUUCGGGCUCAUGUUUUGAUAUUCAGGUUCGGGUUCUGAUUUUUGAAACUAUGCCCCGAAUCUGACUCGUUGACAUCCCUAAGGGUGUGUUUGUUUGGGUGAAAGUGAGGGGGGAAGUGGAGACGGGGGAAGUUGUUUAUGCCGUAAACUAUCACUUUCGUUGUUUGUUUUACCGUAAUUUUAUUACGGCCGAAAGUCGAGUUCACUCAAAAUAGGGUAAUUGACUUCGCCCUUCCACGGGGCGAAGUCAAUUCCGGUGAAGUGCAAAGAGGGAAAGGAGCUUGUUAAAUUUGAUUAGGUGAUGUGAUCAAAUUUGGUUAGGUAAGUUUUAAUAUAUUUUUUGUCUAAUUUGUAUAUUUAGAAAAUGAUGAAAAAUAAAUUUGUUAAAUGUUAAUAAUUUUUUAACUUUAGAAUUUUAUUUGUUGCAUUAGUAUAAUUUAUAUGCAAACAAAUAAUAUAAUUUUUUAAAAUUUUAUUUUAUAAUUAUACAUAUAUAUAAUUAUAUACAUAUGUUUGUAAUAUGUUCUGGGCUAGAUGAGGCCCAAGGCCACAUGAAAGUACUUGACUUGGCCACAUUUGAAUCUAAAGUUAAAAUUAAAAGUUUAAAUCUGAAUGUUUGAGUUUCAAGUUUUGUCUAAAUGUAAUUUUAAGUUUGAGUUUACAAAUUCGAGUUCUAAAUGUUCAGUUUCACCAAAAUUUGGUCCUAAUUAAUUUGACCAAAAUUUGCACUUGUUGUUGGUGCGCCAACGGAUGAUCAUCAAGUCUUCUUUUCUGCUGGCGGUCAAGCGCGAAGUGGAUGAUCAUGAAAUCUUCCCUUUCGUUGGGGCCGUCGAUGUGCUGGCAAGUGGUCGGCGUUUUCGUCCUCCGCCGACGACGUGCCAAAUGGAUGAUUAUAUUGUACAUUAGACUGUACAUAUUGAGCCGGAGGAGACAGGCUGGGUUGUAUAUAUUUUAGGAUGUAUAUACGGAUGUUUUAUGUACAAUAUUAAAGCUAUACCUGUGUGAAUCUACUUAGACUCUGAAACAUGUUAUCUAUACAAACACUCUUGUUGCCUUUUUUAUAGACAAAUCGUUUAUAGACACACGGAUACAUGUUUUCUAUACAUACACUCUUAGCUUAAGCUGUUAGAGAACAAUAUUUAUAUAAUUUUAUAUUUAACACUCCUUUUCACGUCUGGGCUCGAGACUUUUUGCAAGGCCCAUGACGUGGAUUUGAAUUAAAAAAAAGAAAAUUAAUUAUGUUAGAGGUCUGGCAUGACUUGAACUCAGGACCUCCUGCUCUGAUACUAUAUGAAACAAUCGUUGUACUCUAAAAACUUAAAUUAUUAGAAAAUGGUGUUUAUAUAACUUUAUAUUUAACAUUCAUAUUACUAGUUCUACUUUUUAACUUUACUUACAAUUAUAUCAUGUUGUUGAGUGAUAAUUGAGUAAUGUAGUUGACUAAAUAUUAAAGUAUCGCUAAUAUAGAGUAAUGUAGCAGUAUCGUGAUUGAUGAUGAGUCGAUAGUUUAGAUGGUACAUCGCUUUUACUUCGGCAAUGCAUCAACAUUUAGUCAACUAAAUUGAGUAACGAAAUUUGAUUAUAAUAAUUAUGAAAGUUCAAGUCAGAAAUUACAAUAAUUUAAAGUUUAGGGACGAAUCGUGCGAUUUUUUACCGUUCAAGGCUUAUGUUUGAUAUUCUCGCCAGAAUCUACCAUUUGAAUGUAUAGCGAAGUGAGACAUUUUUGCACGUCACAAAUGGUGAAACUGAAAUGCAAAUUACAUGACAGUAGCAUGCAAAUUUUAUUGUUCUCUGAUUAUAAAAAAAAAAAAAAAGAAAAGAAAAAAGCAUGGCAUGUUGUUAUUUGUUAUUAACUGCAUGCAAUUUCUUUCAAAAAGGUUUUUUUUCUUUUAAAAAAAAUGAGAGCGAAGGUUUAUAUUUCGAAUACGAUUUACCAAGGGGUGCUCUGUAAAAGUUAACUGCAAUUUAUUUUCUUUUGUUUUCCUUUCAAAAUCAAAAAAAUAAAAAAAGAAGCCAGAGUAACAGAGAUGGGAAAAUGGUGGAGCUCACUUCAGAAAAAGUUGAGGAGAUGUGGAGAUGGACAUAUUAUGUUGGAUAUAUUGUUAUUGGAUAUUUUGUUAUAAUAUAAUCCAAUAAUAUGUUCACAUACAAGCCCAAUAAGUGAAAGCGUAUUAAGGCCCAUAUCUCUGGAGCCCAAUAGCUUAUUUAUUAAAUCUAGGGUUUCCUACGCUGGAGGUAAUACUGUUGAGCGUUCCAAACUUGACGUCUCUUGGUGUAAUACUUUAAGCACCUAAAAACCCUAACCUCCAACAUAUUAUUAUUAUUAUUUUCAUGAAUUGUCACCUAACCAUGUUGUUCUCUGCACAUUGACAUAUAAUAUAGAAAAUUACAUUCUAUAUAUCAAACUUCAAAUAUAUAUAUAAAAAAAUAAAGGUAAAUGCAUUUGCAUCAUUGCAUGUGCUUCAUUCAGUUUCUAUAUUUGAAAAACUUGUGGCCACUAAAAAAAGUUAAAGUAGAAUUUUAUAAGUUUCAUGUAACUUAAUUAGAUGCAUGUCUUACUAGAAAUAUCAUAAUCUAAGAUUUGAAAAAUAAAAGAAAAUUCUAAAUUUUUUAAUCUAUUAUGAAUAAAACAUCUUGCAUAUUACGUUGAUCGUAUUAACCUCCCGCGGAUGAGAUUUACUAUAUGGAGCAGUUUGGUUCAAGAUUUGUAAUAAUUCGAAAAUGUCCAAUAUUUUAUAUUUAAUUGGAAUAAUAAAUUUGUUUACUAACUUAUUAAGCCCCUUGAGUUGAGAUGUUGUUAAUAACUAGCUUGUAUAUCUUAUUAAUGGACUACUGAUAAUUUCCAUCAAGCAUGGAAAUACGAUACAUAUCUCUUAAAUCAUGUUAAUCUGGUAUUUCUAUCAUUUAGUUAUCUACAAUAUAAUUUAACUAUUUUACUACCGCAUUUUACAACUACUCUACUUGAGUUGAUAGGUUUUGAAUAUUUUUAAUAGAAAAUAUGAAGGAUUACCGGGAUCUUACAAACCUAGCUUGAAUAUGUUUGCCCAAUGUCAUAUUGAAUAUAGAUAUUUAAAAUACUAUUCGUUGGUAGCUUAAGCUUUUAGAGCUAAGCGGUUAUUACAUAUAUUUAUUUCUCACUGUAUCAAAGUAUAGGUAGGAGUUCUUGGACUUGAAUCCCGCGGGACUUCUAAUUCCUUCUUGACAUAUUUAGUAACAUCUCAAAUUCCAAUAUGACGUACUUGAUCUAUAUCUAAUGAACAAUUUUUUUUUUAUCAUAUCCACUUAUUUAUUUAUUUAUUUAUUUUUUCCUUAGUUCAUGUUGUAAAUUAAUGGCCACCUAGCUAGGUUACUUAAUUAAUAAUAAGCCAUGCAUGACCAAGCCUAGCUAGGUGAACUAAUUAAUUUAUGCUCUCACCAAUUGCAUGUAAAUUAUUAACCCAGCAUAUAAUUAAUGCCAAUAGUACUUCUUCCUUUGAGCAUGCAUCUUGCUUUAAUUUAAUUGUCUGCAACUCUCUUUUGUCUUCUUUUAUUAUUGAAGAAUAGAUUCAAGGUUGUAUCUUGUGCAGAUGAAGGAUUAUUUAUUUUUUAGUAGUUUCUUUCAUUCGACUUAAUUUGUGGAAAGAUAAAAUUAAUUUCGUAUAUUCGAUCAGUGGUUGUUAACUAACUUGGAUCCUGUUCGAGAGAGAUUGGGGUUCGAUUCCAGCUGGAAUAUUAUUAAGGGCUUAUUUGGUUCAUCCAUUUUGGGUAUGGAAUGGGAAUCGGUUUGAUCAAAUUCGGUUAAUUUUGUUUGGUUCGCAUGAAUCAGUUUGGGAUUCCUAUUCCGGACUGGAAUGGGAAUGGCCCAUUAGCCUUCAACUUGAUUCCGGUCUUCUAACCUGGAUUGAAAUUUUAUUCCGAAAGCCCACUAAAUUCUCGAAGCCCAUGUGACCAUCUCACCCUCCUUCUCUUCACCCCUUUCUCAUCAAAAAAGAAAAAAAACCUAUCAUCUUUCAAAACCCUAUCCCUAACCCACAUCAAUAAAAGUUUUUAAAAAUAAAUUUGAUAUUUUUUUUGGAAAACUUAUUAGAGAAUAAUAUUAUAUUUUUCAUAAAUUUUAAAUAAUAUAAAUUUAUAUUUGAGAGUAAAAUUAGUAUUAUAGUAUCCUAUUAUUUUUUUAGUUUAUACGAACCAAACAAUGAAAUGUGAAUAACUCAUUCCAAUUCCCAAUCCACAAAUAAACCAAACGUCCUGGGGGAGUGGGCCAUUCCAAUUCAUUUCCAUUCCAUUAUCCAUUCCAAUUCCACCCUUGAACCAAACAAGCCCUAAUAGUAUUGGGGCUCUCAAAAGCACUCCAGCUGGCCGGACUCUUGCAUAUCAUGAAUGCAACGUAUAUAGAAGAAACAAAAGAUAUUCUUGCAAGAAAGUAAACCUUAUAAUUCCCUGAUUACUGUUCGUAGAUCAAAUGUUUAUAUAUUAGAAAGCAAAAGAGAUCCCCAAGGAAUUACAACCGUGACAAUUAAAGACAAAAUGGAUUGAUGUUUGAGGAGUUAUUACAGAAAUAUUUGAGUACGCUCUGGUCAGCAGAAGCAUCAGCGGUAGACCGCGAACUUCGCUUGUCGGGGCCGCGGCUUAUAGCACAUCGCCAUAAGCGCGAGGGCGAUGAUCAGCGCUAUCAGAAGCCCCAUGGGGUCGACGCCGUUCUCAUCACCACCGUUCUCCGACGGUUGUUCCGUGCAGCCGCAGCCACAACAUCCCAUGCAUCCCACGCAUCCCACGCAGCCCAUGGUAACGAUUCGUGUUAGAACGAUGAAUGAAUGAAUGAAUGAAUGAAUGUUGGGAGCAAAUUCGAAGCAUCAUAUAUAUACAGAGAAGCAGAAGGCAGUUGAAACAUCAAUGUCGACGUGCAAUAUUGUACUCGAUCGGUCAGAACAUGAGAAUUAAUACAUGCAGCAGACGAGAAAUUUAAUAAUUAAUGCAUCCGAUAAUUAAUAAUACUAAUACUACUACUACCUACUACUAAUAAUAGUUGCUUCUUCAAAUCAAUUCAAGGGAGAUUCUGUCGGUUCCUGUUCAUGUUCCCCGUUUCCGCUCGUAAUUCGUCUCGGAGGCGUAUUAAAUUAAAAUCCGGAUUAUAAAAGUGCAUGCAUGCAUGAUGAGCUGCAUGCCAUUCUGUUGUAAGUCAACGGCAGCAGGAGAGAUGAAUUGAAUCAUUCUUGCAUCAGACAUGCACUAAUGAAAGCCAAUCAAAAUAAUAUGGGAAUCCUAGUCAAAUGGAUCGAGCAGUUUCCGUGCAGCUUACUGGAUGGUCGAGGAGAAUUCGUCAUCGCUUACUCGAACCCCCUUUCGAUCAAAUAACGAGAAGCAGCUUUAUAUACAUUCUAAAUUAAAUACAUCCGACAGAUUAAUUAGUUGAUGCAUAUCUAUGUUGGAGUUUGAUCUGUUGUAGUUUGACUCACCGAUGCUUAAGUAUGAAAAGCCCAAGCUACAAAAACGAAAUAGUUUGAGAUUCGAACAGAUAUCGUGCAGAUAUAAUAAAUAUCAAUACAUUCAAAUUUGUACUUGAAAAGAUCGAGCUUGGAAUUUACCUUUGCACUUUGCACUGUACUCUGCGAUAAUGAGUCGCCUGCGAUUGUAGACUCAUGCAGAUGUGUUUAACAAAAGCUGUUGAAUACAGAUAGAGGAUAUAUAUCUGGCAUAUAUGUAGCAAAGAAGCGAAAAGUUCCAGAUGUGAGAUUAACCGAACUCUUUAGAGAAGAAUCAACAUGUAGUGCAUGCCUCUUGAUGCUGUUCAUGGAUGCAGUUCUUUGCAUUCCUUGUACGACCGAAAUAAGUUCUUACUGGUGCUAAAAUGUGGCAUCUUUGUAUUUUACUCAAGUGAUUCCGACUGGUCUUGUAAUGACUAAUAAUAUCAAGCCAUAUCACUCUUUUUUCCACCAUUAAUUGGAAUGAACAAUACAUCUAUAGCUAUACAUAAAUUCUCAUGGCUAAAUCCACAUGAAUGUACCACCUUUAUUUGAGGAUGAUGGGACCCAUACUACAACACAAUUAAGCUAUAGAGACAUAUUUUUUGGACACUUUUAUGUAAGUGUCCCAUAUAUAUCCAAACAAAAUUGCAUUACCCAAAGUUUUUGAGUGGGCUAAUGCAAUGGGUUAAUGCAGUGGGCUUUUUUGAGUGGGUUAAUGCAGUGGGCUUUUUGAGUGGGUUAAUGCAAUGGGCUUUUUUGAGUGGGUUAAUGCAGUGGGUUUUUUUUAGUGGGUUUUUGAGUGGAGCUCGGUGCAAGCAUUAAUCCACUCAAAAAGUUGGGUUUUUGACUGAAGCACGGUGCAUCCACUCAAAAAAAAAGAACCCUCCGUUACCAGACCUAAAGCACCCAAAAAAAAAAAAGAAAAAAGAAAAAAAAAGAUACCUAUUAACCUACCUUGCUCCUCUCAAUCCCUUUUCCCUGCAUCAUCUCCGCCGUUUCGCCUCCCUCACGAUCUCCAAUGGCGAGCUCUAGCUGCUACCUCACCGUGUCUCUUAUGGAGAUUUCUCUAAUAUCAUGUUGAUCCCUUCUCUUUCCGUGAGACAUUUUUGCGUAGCUCGAUCAUCACCACCACCGCCACAACAACGUCCUUAAUUUUGGUCCUCUCCUCGUCAUCAACUUUGGAGAAGUUCAAGAGCUUGGAUUGAGUGCAGGAUAGGCUUCUAAUCUCAAUCUAGGGUUUUUGUAGCACACUAAACUUUAACAAAUUGCAAGGUUCCAGUGUCCGAAUAGUAUUUGAUACUAUUCUGGGUAUGUUCGAGGGUCGUGGGCUGUGUGUCGACCAAGUACUUGCAUUUUGUGAAGCGAGAGUGGGGGCUUAGUACCAAAAUUUGCAAAUUGCAAGUUUUGGGGUGCUGAGUAUCGGUACCACAGUGCGGUACCGGUACCCCAACGCGUGACCGAGAGGGGUGCGCUCGGGUUUGAACUGAGAGAUGCUGAGUACCGGUACUGACUUGGCCGGGUACCAGUACUGGGUCGGGUACCGGUACUACAUCACGCGGGUAGCAGUACCCAGUGCAUUUUCUCGCAGACCUGAGGCUCGAGUUCGCGCGUGCUGCUGCCUAGUACCAGUACACCGUAAAUAACUCGAUUGACAGAGACGGGUUUUGCGGGUUGGUUGUCGGGUACCGGUACUCCUCUUCGAGUACCGAUACGCAGUGCAGCAAACUGCUUUUCUGCAGUUUACAAUUUAGCUGUUUGUGAGGGGCCUUCUGGGGAUUGUUACCACUUAUAUAUAUAUAUAUAUAUAUAUAUAUAUAUAUAUAUAUAUAUAUAUAUAUAUAGGGCCAUAAUNUAUAUAUAUAUAUAUAUAUAUAUAUAUAUAUAUAUAUAUAUAUAUAUAUAUAUAUAUCCCACCUCCCUUCUACUCAGCUCUUGUGCUGGGGACUUAGAGGAAAAGAGGUAGGCUCUCUUCUCCUCCCCUUUCUAGUUUCUUCUCUUUGGGUUGAGAUUUCUUGUAAGGGUUAUUUGCAUACACGUCCCUGCAAACAUAGUGAAUUGCGGAAAUAUCCCUGCAAAACGAAAAUUCCAUAAGUUGUCCCUGCAAAAAUCAUAAGUUAUGCAAAUAUGUCCCUCUGGUUGAAAUCUGUUAGGAAACUAUUAAUUUUUAACAGUUUUAUUGUGAAAUGACUUUUUUGCCCUCACAAAUAUAUCCCUCCAAAAUAUUUCUCUUCCCCUUCCCUUUCUCUCCCUCUUCGGGCCACCGAAGUGGACGGCGGCUGCGGCAGCGCGGGGUUGGGUUCGCCGGCGAUGAAGAAGAGGGAAGAGAAAGAAGGAGAGGAAGAAGAAGAGGGAAGAGGAAGAAGGAGAGGAAGAGGGAGAAGAAGAGGGAAGAGAAAGAGGAAGAGGGAGAGGGUUUGCCUUCACCGCCGCCGCCGCAUCUCCUCCCUCGCCGGGGACGAAGAAGAGGGAAGAGGAAGAGGGAGAGGAAGAAGAAAGGCGAAGAUGAAGAGGGAAGAGGGAGAGGGUUCGCCAUUGCCGCCGCCGCCACAUCUUCUCCCUCGCCGGCGAAGAAGAAAAGGGAAGAGGAAGAAGGAGAGGAAGAAGAAGGGGGAAGAGAAAGAGGGAGAGAAAGAGAAGAGGAAGAGGAAGAGGGAGAGGGUUCGCCGCCGUCGUCGCCGCCGCUGCCGGCGACGAAGAAGAUGGAAGAGGAAGAGGAGGAAAAAGAAGAAGGGUGAAACCGUCAAUUUACGUUAUUAAUUAACCAUGGUUAAGUAUUUUAACCGUGGUUAAUACAAUUUUUCUAACAGACCUUAACGGUAGGGACAUAUCUGCAUAACUUAGGUCUUUUGCAGGGACAACUUAUGGAAUUUCCGUUUUGCAGUGAUAUUUUCGCAAUUCACUAUGUUUGUAGGGACGUGUAUGCAAAUAACCCUUCUCGUAAAUUGAUCUCCUCCCUUUUCUUCUUUUUUGCUUGAUGAUGAUCCUUGGACCUUAGAGAAGCUUUGGACUUGAGGAAUAGAGCUUGGUUGAGGAAAUAUCUCCAACCCUAGCAUCAUCCUAGCUUGGUUUGGAGCUCAAUAAGAGGUUAGUAGCAUUAUUGCUCCAUUGAGAUGUGAUUUUGGAAAGAUUUUUGGAGUUUAACCUAGUUUUGAAAAAUUAGGGUUUCAUUUUGAAUUUUCUCUUGGUAAAGCCUUUAAGGCUUAAUUGUUGGUUCCAAUACUUCCUUUUAGGUUGAAAUUGAAGCAACCUAACCUCCUUUGAGAGUUUGGAAGGGUUUUUCCUCAUCUAAGAUAUUUUCUACUUAUUUUCGGUAUGAUUUUUGGAAAAUUUCGUGGGGUGUUCCUUCGAUGCUCCUAACCCCUUUAGAAUUUUUGUUAGGGUGCUAGGAGGCUAGUGGACAACUCCGUUCGCGCAAACGUAGGAGUUUCGAAGGGUAUCCGGUAGAUUUGACAUCACCGAAAUGGGUGAACUCCUCCUAUGUCAUUCUCUAUGUUGUAAAAUGGGAAAUCAAGCAUAUUCAUGCUAGUUGUAGCCUAAAUGAAAUUUUGAAUGCUUAAGAUAUACAUGUUAUGUGUCGAGAUUACAUCCUCUAUAUAGUAGAGUGAGAGUUGUAUAUGAAACUUGCAUGUGAAAAGAUAUCCUUCAUACCAUGUUAGAAAUCAUAUUAUGAUUAGUGAACUGACAAGUUUUACAUUCCCAUGGGCAAGUGAUUUAGACUUGACAUAGUUAACAUGAACAUCAUGUAGUGACACUUGACUUAGUAAAUGACUAAACCUCUACAAUGUGACAUAAAAACCAAUCGUUGGGUCGCUACUACUUGUACCAUAUUUUAGACAUGAUAACCGAAGACUUGAUAUGGAUGAUCAUGCUUGCUUGCCAUUGUGCUCAUUCACACAUGCUUGUAAGGUUGCUCCCUAUAAGCCGGCACUCCGGAGUUGGCUUACGCGACACAUGCUCACCCGUGCGGGGUUGGGCGCCGAAGUGGGAUGCCGUAGGGAAGGCUCAUUCCUAGAGAAAGAAUGUUGACUACCAUGGGGCCACUAGGCACGGCGCAAGCCGGACUACACUUGUGUAGGCCUUAGUUGAAUUGAACAAUGACAUUUAAAAGUAUAUUGUGACCAUCACUACUGUAACAUACCGAAACUCGGUAGAUUAUAUUGGACUUUAGCCAAAUUGACUAAAGCGUCCGAAAGAAAUAGUUGGACAUGUUCCAUUUGACAUUCCAAAGGUUUUGGAAGGGUCAAAAUUGAGUUCUAAAAGAGUUAGAGAGGUUUUAGCAUUGCUCGGCGCGAAGAAGUGCUGGAGUACUACCAGGACAUAACUCUGGGCACUGGCAUACCGGUACCAGGUUCGGAGGUACCGGUACCAGGCCAGCAACCCGAGAGGAGUAGCUCUCGGGUUUGGCUGUUGCGCACUGGCGUACCGGUACCAGCGUGGGUGGUACCGGUACCAGACCAGCCACCCGAGACAGCAACUCUCGAGUUGGGCUGCUGAACAGGGGAGUAUUGGUACCCGUGAGGGUAGUACCGCGGUACCAGAUGGGCUUCGCAGCAGACUGAGGUCUGCUGCAAAUCUGAAUUAUUGGGGGGCCUUUUUGUAAUUGUUACAACAUAUAAACACCCCAACACUUCUCCCCACUCUCUCCCACAGCCAAACACCCUCUCUCUCUCUCUCUCAUUUCUCUCUUUCUCUCUUUAGAAAUCUCUCCAAGGAGCUAAGGGGAAGGAGAAGAGAAGGAUUUGGAGGAGAUUUCUUGGGUUUUGAAGGUUUGAGAACUCUCCUACAAGGUGGACUUUGGAGAGGUUAGAACAAAGGUAAGGUUUUCUUGUAAGAUCUAGCUUAGGGCUUGGAUUUUACGCCCUAAAUCUUUGGAUUUGAGCUUCUUACAAGUGUAGAAACCUUCUAGUGGCCAUAGAACACAUGAAAACCAAGCUUUCUUCAUGUGCUCUCAUGGUGGAUUUCUAGGGCUCGGUUUGUAUGCCCUAGAAAUGGUUGGAAAGGCUUAGAAAAGGUUCUAAAUUAGUUCCUAGAGGUUUAACGAACUUUCUCUUGCUUGUUCUACAGAUCAAAUUCAAGGAUUGAGCAAAUGUCAUAUUAGGGCAUCCCAAAGAGGGAUUUUGCUCAAGUAGGGUUUUGAUCUAAUUUGAUCAUGUAUAAACCUAAUUGGGGGUAUAACGAACGCGUUGGUGCACUCGGUUCGACAAUUCGACGAGUGUACGCAAAGUUAUUGACAAAACGUCAUUUAUCGUACAGAUUGCCGCAGCACGUGGAAUAGGAGUCCAAAAAUUCUAAGAAUUGAACCGUAGCACCCUUCCAACCAUACAAAGUGGGUGGUACUUUCCGAAAUCGGUGGAUUUCCUCUUAUGUUUAAAAGUGUCAUUUUUGAGCAUAUGUAUAUAUAUCUUGUUCAUGCAUAAUAGGGUGAUGUGAGUGUAUUUGAUUGCAUGCUUUGAGUAUAAGAUACAUUUAAAAUGUUGUAAAUCUUUGAGAACAUAUGGAACCCUAUGUAUGCAUGUGUAGUGACAAAGACCUAGAAGAGGUAAAGAAUAAAUGACAUUAUGACAUAUGGAUUGGGUGGUAUUAGUAAAUGACAAGAAAUGCAUGAGAAAAGAACACUUAGUGUGUGUGUGGCAUUAGUAAACAAAUGAAUGCUAGGAUUGAACUCUUAGUCGAGUGGCAUCAAAACAAGUAAAGAAUGCAAGUAAAGGACAUAAAGAACAUUAUAACAUAGAAACCUUAGAGUUAAGGGUCAUAUGAGCAUUGCACCCUCCUAAUGAGGAUUGGAUUGAACUUGAAAUCCUUAAAGUUAAGGAUUGAUCGUACUCAUCCAUUAGUCUUAGCUCGAGGGCGGCAGCUCCCCUUCGGGCGAUGAGCUCCAGAGUAGUCAUCACUGGGUCGUAGCGAGUAUCUCCCCAGAGGACGGUCUCGUCGGGUCGCAGCGAAUAUCUCCCCGAUAGUAGGGAUUUGGGUUGGUGAGUUUGUUGAGGGCGAAACCUAUGGGUUAGCCAAGAUAUUGGGCAAUGGAAUUAUGAUUUUGCAUUCAUCAUGAGCAUUUUAUUUGAGCAUAGCAUUGUUAUAUUGUUUAGGCAUAUUAGCUGCAUUUGUUAGUUGGUUACUAUUUAUUCUUUCUUCUAUUAUGCCUGAUUUAGACCUAGUGGGAAAGUCGGCGAGGUCGGCGGCCGAACCUACUGGGAACUUUGUUGUAGUUCUCACCCCACUAUUUCCACAGAGCCGGGACCGAGCGAGCCGACGGACGAUCGCGGUAAGGGUAUCACGCCAUAGUUGGGGACCAUCGAGUUGGUUUCAUUUUGGGUUUAGUUGCAUAUCUUUUAUAUAUCAUCUUUGUAUUUUGAUGAUUAUAGUUGUAUGAAUGUUGUAUUAAAGACGUUAAAUGAAAAGCUUUAUUUUGGGAGAAUAUGUGAUGUAAAAAGAAAUGAUGCAAAGAAUUGUAUAAGAAUUUUAUUAAAAGUUGAAUGCAUGUAUGUGAUUUAAAGUUAAUCAUAUUACUUGUAUGUUGAUUAGAUAUAUAGUACUUUCACUUUGGCUAUUGCUUGCCCUCGUGCGAGCCAUUAUGUAUACUUCCGCAUAUACAAAUUUUAUACUCUAUUUGUACUUGUUGUUGAGCCUUGGGCGGACCGGGGGAGGUGCUGUCCAUUCGACGUCUGUUCGACGUGCUCGAACUGGCCAAAUAGGACCGGGCUCGGGGCGUGACAACUACUAAAUAGUGCAUACUAGUUGGACAUACUUAUUCUGUCACGCCCCGUGCCCCGCCUAUUUGGUCAGGUUCGGGCACGCCAAUAGACCGCCGAAUGAACAGGGUUUUUCCUGUACCGCGGACAGAGUCUCCCCUGUACGUCCAAGGCGUCGCAAUCAAUACAAUGCACGAAGUUUCAACCAGGAACACAUUUCGACCAAAGAUUGCAUAAGGAAGUACCAAAAACAUAAAACUACUUGCUAUUACAAGCAUUCAUUCUCAAAGUCCAAAUAAUACAGUUUGUUUACAUUGAACUUCCAAAAUACAAUCCGAUUGUUACAAUUAUUACAAGUUUGAUCCCUUUGUAUUCUUUUCAUUGUCUAUACCCCUAGCUAGCCGACUGGGGUGCUUCUAUCUCUGGUCUCUGGGGUAGGGCGCUAUCUACGGAGCUAAACCAUUGCCUCGCGCCGCCGCGCCGCUCACGUGUGUACCUGUAACACCCCAAAACAACGUGGGGUGAGAACCAACUCCAUGGUUCCCAGUGGGUACGGCCACCCAAGAAAAAAGCUCGACCAAUAGAUCCAAUCAGGCACUGCAAUCAUGUUAGUCCAAAAACAUCCACAGAUACAUAUAUCUUCAUGUUAUUAUGCAACUAACAAAUAACAUGCCUCACAAAAUGCAAUAUGCAAAACCUGUAACUCAUGCAAGUAGAUUAAUUGAUUCUACUUCAUAUUCUUAGCCAUUCUUUACUUGUAGCCGUUCUUUACUUUAUUAGCUAUUCUUAUUUAUUAGCCGUUCUUUUUUCUUAGCUAUUCUUUAUUCUUAGCUAUUCUUUAUUCUUAGCUAAGGGUUCUCGCACCCUAGUCAUAUUAUGCUCAUUGUCAUUCUUUCCUAAGGUUACUCUUACUUUAGUCACACUAUGCCACUCGACUCGAUCGUGAGUCAAUCAACUGCGAAUAAUCCGCGCUCUGUCGGCUCGAGGUGAAGGAACUCUUGCACGCACCUCAGCCUACCACAACCUGCCACGCUCUAUGACUGAGCCACCCGGCGGCGAAAUCGUGGCACAAACGCCACGACAAUGACUCAAGUCAAGCGGCGAUACAAUCCACAAACCGGCAUAACCAUCCAGCGGCGAAAUCGUCGCACACGCCACGUCGAUGGUUGGCCCCGGGCGGCGAAAUCGUCGCACACGCCCCACACCACUCUCGAUGUGAUCCAUAAGCUCUGGGAUUCCGAAAUCCAUUUCACAUAACUCAAGGGUUGGUCUUAACCCUAUAGUAUCGACCUAUCUAGGUCCAAUGUUCUUUCCACCCUAGAUCCACUUGACUCUAGGCUUGAUGCUUUAUCACAUAACCUAGGUUUACUUUAACUCUAGGUUUAUUCCACAACCUAUGUUCUUUAACACUAGGUUCAUAUUCAUUCUUAUCCAUCCUAGGUUCAUGCCACUAGGUUCAUUUUCAACCUAUGUUCAAUAACACUAGGUUCGGUGCCACACUUAUCCAACCUAAGUUUAUUAACACUAGGUUAUAUACCACACUUGUUCAACCUAUGUUUUCUAACAUUAGGUUUAAUGCCAUUCUUGUUUAACCUAUGUUUGCUAACACUAGGUUCAAUAUUACUCUUGUUCAACCUAUGUCAUUGACACNUUCAACCUAUGUUCAAUAACACUAGGUUCGGUGCCACACUUAUCCAACCUAAGUUUAUUAACACUAGGUUAUAUACCACACUUGUUCAACCUAUGUUUUCUAACAUUAGGUUUAAUGCCAUUCUUGUUUAACCUAUGUUUGCUAACACUAGGUUCAAUAUUACUCUUGUUCAACCUAUGUCAUUGACACCAGGUUCAAUGCCACUCGAUCUAUAUGUAUAUAUAUACGUCCACAUGCACAUGUCAUUUAACAUAGUUCUCUAUAUGUCAACUUGCAUUUCUUAGCAUUAUCCACAUGCAUCUAUUUAGCAUUUCCAUAUCAUGCUUAUCAUAUAUUCACUUAGCAUUAAUCAAUGCAUUUAUCUAGCAUUUCUGUUCUAUGUCAUUCAUGCAUUCAUUGGUAGCCCAUAUAGCAUUCAUUUCAAGCAUUCACAUACUCUAACAUUAGCUACCACUAUAUGUGUCAAUGAUAAACACUCAUCUUAGACAUACAGGCGACCUAGUCGCUUCGGUAAAUACAACCCACCUCAAUACGCUUUUCGAUUGCUUGUAGUUACUUGCAAUCGGCCUCCCGCGGCACCUGUUGCCCGGUUCAGUCCGGACUCUCGCGCGACCACCCGAACGGCCUCCAAUCCACGAUCCGGAAAUUAAAGGUCGACGGUUAGUUGCCAUGAGCCCACGAUUCCGUUUUCAUGAUUUUAGGACGUCGCCUCGGCCCUCCAGGAGGAAACGAAGCUUUAACAGUCCGUUUCUUCAAUAACUUCGCGUAGGCUCGACGAAUUACCGAAUCGACUUCACCAACGCGUUCGUAUACCUAGCAAUUAGGUUUGUAUAGGGUUAAUUUACAUUUAAACCCACCCAUAAUAAAAGCCCCAAUUUUGGUGCCCUAACAAUGUCGCUUUGCCAUUUUCCUAGAUUGAUCUCAUCCCUAAAUAAAGAUUAGCUUAGAAUCAUCUAGGAAGCUCUCUAAUACCCUUACUAAGCCAUUUGGACCAACCCUAGGGCAUCUAAGACAAACCCUAGGUGAUCACCAUGAGAGCACCUUGAGAAACCAUGGACUUCAUGUGUUUCCAAGCCUCCCCAAUGCUUUAAAGCUUGCAAGAAGAUCAAAACUCUAGAUCUUAUGAUAGAAAUCUAAACCCUAGAUGUAUUCUUGCAUGAGAGCUUACCUUAGCCCGAGCUUCUCCAAGUCCACCUUGUAGGAGAGCUUCUUGAUCUUUCCCAAGCUCCAAAACCCUCCAAAUUCACCUUCUCCUUCUUCUUCUCCUUGUUCUUGUGGAGAUUUCUAGAGAGAGAAAGAGAGAAAUGAGAGAAGAAAUGAGGGAGGAGGGGCUGCUGUGAAGGAAAAGUGUUUGGGGUCUUUUAUAGGUUGCUACAAAUGCAACUAAGCCCCCCAAAAUUCCAUUCGCAAUAGACCAAUUCUAUGCUGUUAGCCCAAAGUGUACCGGUACACUUCCUCGUGUCACCAGUAACACAAUUGCGCAGAGACAAAACCCAAGAGCUGCUUCUCGGUUUCGUAGCAUUUGUAUCGGUACACUUUCGAUUUUUCUCUCAAACCCGAGAGCAAGUUUUCUCCUCGGGUCGCUUGCUAUACCGGUACAACCAUCAACAUGUACCGGUACACUUUGCUCUAGAAUGUAGUUUUAGCUUAUUUUCGACCCUAUUUCGCACCGGUCGAUGCUAAAACCAUCCUAACUCUUUUAGAACUCACUUUUAACCCUUCCAACAUUAUUGGAACAUUAAUUGAAACUUGCCCAACCAUUUCAUUCGCACGCUUUAGUCAAUUUGGCUAAAGUUCGAUAUUUUCUACCGAAGUUUCGGUAUGUUACACAUUCAUGUUAGAAUAGCUUCGUUACAUGCUAAACAUUAUGCUUAAAUGGAGGCAUAGUAGUUUAGUAAAUUAUUACUUGCUCAAUAUUCAUGUUGCUUAUCUAGUUAUGCUUAUUUACUACUUAUGCCUCGAUGACCUAGUGGUGUAAUUCGCUGAUGUCGGCGGCUUACCAACUAGGAACUAUUGACUAAUAGUUCUCAUUCCCAUUUUGUUGAUGUUUUUGUUUACAGAGCCAUCCAUAUCAGGAGAGGUUAGGGACCGCGGCAAGGGGGUCGCGACUAGCUAGACUUAGCUGGGAGUUUCUGCUAAGUGGUCAUCUCUCCUUUUUUUGUAGUUGGAGAGAGAUGUUUUGUUCCUGAUGUAUAGAGACCACCAUUUUGUAUUUAGUUUUACCUUAUGUGGAUUUCAUGUUGUAUGUAUUGUUUGGUGGAUUAUUAUUGUUUAGCUAUUUUACUUUCCUAUACUUGUCUUUGGGGAGUAGUUAUAUUCCAUGCUCUGAUAUCAUGCUAGACAUUACUUUUAUCUUGUGUUUUCUCGUUAUGAUUAUUGUAGACGCCUUAUAUGUUCUUGGCAUAUGGCGGGUCUGGACACGCACUGGGCAAGCUUCCGCUGGGGCCCGGGCGUGACAGUUUUUGUUCUUAAGAUCUUACAGUGGAGGAGCACUUAAUUUGGUAUGUGAUUAUAUUUUUCAGAUUAAUUCCUUCUAAUUCUGAUACAUAGUUUCUACCAACUGUAGUAUUUUGUUAUCAAAUUUAGUUGUACUCUACAGGCUAUCAUUAAUAAUCAGUUUAAUUCCGAACCAUUGAUCAGUUGAUUUCCUAACAAUGCAAAACAAAAGCAAAUGUACUAUCUAGUUGGCUACAAUGGUAGCUUAGAGGGAGCUGGAUUAUUAAAAUGUAUAGAUUUGAUGUAGGAAAUUCACACUAUAAGGCAAUGUGGCUUGUUCAUGAAACAAUUUAGGAAUUUGAUAUUGUGAUUUUUUUUUUCUUUCUUUUUUCUUGACCUUUUUGGACUAUAUGCUUAUUUGAUCCAACUCGAGCUUCUGCGAAAAGUGAUGUUUAUAGUCACUAAAAAUCCAUCUAUUGAAUUUUCACUGUAGCAGAAGCAAGGGUUCAAGUUAGGGCUUUUGCAAAAGUGAUGCUUAAUUGUCAUUAAAAUCCAUCUCACAAGUUUUUGCUAUAGCAGAAGCAGAGACUUUAAAUUAGAGCUUCUGCGAUAGUGGUGUUUGAUUGUUAUUAAAAUCCAUGUAAGAAAUUUUCACUAUAGCAGAGGCGAAGCCUUCAAAUCAAAGUUUUUGCAUUAGUGAUGUUUGAUUUUGCAUAGUUAGACCUUUUGAUUUUGGGCCCUCAACUUCUUGUGAUAAAAUCCUAAGGCAAAACUUUAUUAGGCUUAAUGGGGGCUGUACAUUGCGCUCAAUAGAUAAGGUUGCCAACCUGCCAGGGAUAAAUUUUGGAGAGUUAUACUCAAGCUCCAACUAAAAUCUCCCAUUAGCUCUUUUAUAUUCUAUAUUUCUUCACGUUGGACAAGUUUGUGAAAAUUGUUAAUUUGCAUUUCAUUUUCCAGCUACAUGCCCGAUAAGCCUCAUAUCAAACCCAUAACUGAAGAUCCAAAGUUUGAGAAAAAUCGCCUCGCUGUAUUAUUUGACAGGAUCCAACACCCUGGUAAGUAACAUAUUAAUGUCUUUGGAUUGAAUUUCUUGAUACUCAGAACGUCUACUAGUGUUAUGAAAUAUUUUAUCCACCAUUUGUUUCACUAUUUCUUAAGCGAAAUAAUUUUGGAUCUAGUGUGCCCACUUUAAGUUGCUCCAUCAUUUUACUUACCACACUAGUGUAGCUAGGUAACUUAAUAAUAUGCAAGCAAUUUCUCAACAUCGUGAUCAAAUUGCCAUCUGAUUUUCCCAAAAGUAUAUAUGACAAAUAUUUAGGUAAUUUGCUUUACUCAUGCCUUUAAAUUAUUAGAUAAGACUCCUGAUAGUGGCUGUUAUAUUGUGUUUACUGGUUAUUUCUAUCAUAAAAUGGAAAAGGAAAAGAAAAAGAAAAGUUGGAUUGAAUUUUUGAUUGGAGAUAGUAGUACUGAUUCUUCACUUUCUCGUGAUUUGUAAUGUAUGAUAUUUACGAUCUUCUUCUGUUUUUAUUUGUUAUUGAUGAUUAAUUCCUAUAAAUUAAACAGAUUUAUCCCAGAUCGUUGAUGAAAAGCUGGACUCACUAAAGAAGUUGUGCAAUAUCGAAGUAGUUCCCUCUUCAUUAACACUUGGGUAUUCUUACUGGAGUGCAGGUUGAUCUUACACUUCUUAUUUCUUGGUUACUUUAGAUGACUAUUACUAUAAGUACCUUCUGGAUAGUCCUUUAGUUUCUUUCAUAUAAAUGAUUGCGACUACAAAUUAAAAAGAAAAGACUAGGGUGCACUUAGACAUGGUCAAAAUAAUUUCACUGAGGUUUAUGGUUUCUUUUCUAUUUUUUAAAGACUUCCUGAUUUAGUAAGUUUAUAUAAGCUCUUAGAAGCUUGCUGAGGUGAAAAUGUUCUACGUAAUUCAAACUAAAUAGCUUGUUCUAUCAUGCUUUCUUGGUUGCUUUGGUGGACCUCUGCUCAGCUAUCACAAUGAACUUUAUCAUAUCUUGCCUAUUUUGAAUGUUGAGCCGUACGAUCCGUGCUAUUAUUUGCAUUCAUGCAUGUUUAGUUCCAAUUAGAUGUAAUUUUAUAAGAUUAGGAGUUUGUUUUCCUCCCGGGAGAUGUCAUAUCAUUUGUUUAUAAUGCAAAGAACAAGAUCAUUUAAAGAAACAUUGAAAUGAGAGUUUUGGUGUCAUAGUCCUUCAGAUGCUUUAUGUUUUCAGAAAGCAAAUACUAAAUAAGGGAGUUUUAAAGUUUUUAGUAGCUUCUGUCACAAGCUUGAACCUUUUGCUUUUAGGAAUUUCAUUGAGGUGUUAUUUUUUUCCUCCUUCCGAUGGUUGUCACAAUUCAAUUAUUAAGCUUCUUUUUAUUUCACUUCUUUUUUCUUUAUUCUUCACUUUAUUCUUUUCUUUAGUUUUAAUUGAUUUUUCUUUUUUUUUUGCUCUUCUUAAGAUAUUGUGCAAUUAUUGAUGGAUUUGAAUAUUAUAAAAGGAUGGUUGCAUUGGCCAAGGGGAAGUAGACAAUACUUGGAGGGUGUUGGUGGUUUUCUUGAUUUUGCAUUUAGGAAUGCAAUUUCUGAUAGCAAAAUUUGGACCCCUUGUGUGAAGUGUGUCAAUAGAAGUAAACUGAGUCGGGAAGAUGUUUACGAGCAUUUAGUAUGCAAUGGAAUGCUUCGUGGUUAUCGACAAUGGACUUUCCACGGUGAGCGAAUAGUGGAAAGCCCACCUUCUCCUAGACAUCACAUAGAAGAUAAUUAUAGUAUGCAUGUAGAGACGCAUCAGCUACUAACUGAUGCAUUUGGAUGUGGAGAAGAAGAUCCGAUUCCAUCGGAUUCUAUGGAUACACCUACAUACAAUCUUAACAUGGAAGCUGAGAAUUUUUAUAACUUGCUUAAAGAUGCAGAUCAAGAGUUGUGGCCAGGGUGUGAAAUUGUGAAUUGACAAAACUUUCAUUUCUUGUUCUUCUAUUUUGUACGAAAUAUACAAACAAAUGGAGCAACAAAUCCUGUACCGGCUUGCUUGAGAUUUUACAACUUUCAAUACCUAAUGGUAAAAGUUUAAUGGGAUUUUUUAGUUUUCUGAAAGACUACUAAUGCCCAAACUUGCAUGGGCUAGAUUUUUUUCAACAGCACUCUAGAACAAAGAGAGGUCACUAAAGCAUCACUCGUUUUUUUUUUCAAAAUAAAUUAAUUACAAGAUGUCUUAUCUAUAAUACUAGCUCAUAAGCAAUUUUUUAUAAUUAUUUAAAAAAAUUAAUAAAUAGAAGAGAAAUGAUGAAAUAAUUUUUUACUAGGAACUAUAUUUUGUGUAGCAUCUAUUGCGGUGAUUUGCAAACUUAUAUAAUAUAAUCAAUCUGUAUGUGAUAGUAUGAUCAUUUGAUUAGUAACUCACGGGCUCGGUUAAGUAGGAUCGUGGGGUGUUGCCGUGUUGGCAGCGAAACACUUUGUUUUAAGUGUUUAAAUAAUAACAACGAGGUGUCAGGCGGCCUCCUGCGCCUGGGAACCGCAUCUCCUUUUCUUUGUGAUCGCCUAUGCGGCACUAACAUUAACAUAACAUAUCGUCCCACUUUAUUAUUAUUAUUAUAUAUAUAUAUUAUUAUUGUUAUUUGAAGAUUGAAGAUGCGAGCAACUAGCAACUUGACUUCCUUAUUAACAAUAUAAUUCAUUCAUGAUUACAAGAGGAGCUCUUUACAUAAAUAUACAAUUAAAAAUUAUCAUCUAUAAUUUUUUAUUGGUCUGAUCCCCUGGUAAAGCUUCCAAUGGCCAUUGUACUCAAGCCGUUGCAUUUAGACCACAUCAAAUGCAAACCAGAAUUCAGAACUACCUUCAGCCAGCAAUGGGUGUAGUGUUAGUCUAUUAGUUUCAAUUUACUAAAUCAUACCCUUUAAUUUUUUUAAAAAAAUAAUUAUAAUAUAACAAUAAAAAUUAUUUAUUUAUUUAUUAAAUAGUUUGUAACUAUAUAAUAAUAAUUUAAUUAAAAUGUAAGGCUCUAACGGAUUUAAUAAAUAUUCUGUUGUUUUGUGAUUCCACAGCGGCUCCUUUGGCAGGACAACUGAAAAUAGCAAAAACAGUGAAGCCUUCUCUCCGUCAUCUUCCUCCAUCCACAGUUUUAAAGCUUGCUACAGCCACCGUCACCAAUAAACCAGCGUUCAAGCCUCCCAGCUCCACCUCUCCCUCUCCCUCUACGUCUACCUCUGCUGAACAAGUAUUUUAUGUGAAAGAUGAACAAAAUUUCGGAUGGUACAUUGUAAUAAAGUUCUUCAUCUACCAGAGUUCAAGUCCUUCACGUCUCGCGCCACGAGCUCCUUAUUCGCCCAUGGCUGAAGGCCAUCUAGGAAGAAGAAUAGCCGAUCCUCAUCGGCCAUGUUGGUGAUCGCUAACAUCAGCUUGGAGUAUUCUUGGACAUACUCCUUCAAAGUCCUCGAAUGUUUGAGUCGUCGAAGUUGCCUCCGCGCAAGAUAUUUGACGUGCUCGGGGUAGAAUUGCUCCUUGAGCUCGCGCACAAAGUCCUUCCAUGUCUUCAGUUGGCAUUGACCCUUCUCGGCCUCUGCAGAACGUCAACGCCACCACAACAUCGCGUCGUCAGCAAGGUACAUGGACGCAACCUGGACUUUCUCCUCCUUGUCGUCCAGCCGCAACGCCUUGAUGUAGCGCUCCAUGUGCCACAGAAAAUUGUCUAUUUCCUUCUCACCGUAGGUACCCCUAAAAUUUUGAGGCUCAGGGAUACGUACCUUCAAAGCGGACUCUCUUUGGGGUUCAUGUCCACGCGCCACCGCUUCUUCAAGGAUCAUCACUCUCGUCUUGAGGUCCUCGACCUCGUCGACUCGAGCAACGAGCUCCUCGAUCAGGUUCUUUCGCUCCUCGUCACAACGAGUCAUGUUUCCCCGAAGCUUCUCGAGUUCGCUUCGAAAGGUUUCCAUGGCAAUAGCGACGCUUUCCUCCAUACUGCGGACCUCGCCGUUAAAAGAGUUAAAGGUAUCAGCCAUUUUGGUGUACCUUUCACCCAUUUUCGAUAUUACGUCCUCCAACAGCGCAAGGCGGUCCUCCAACGACGCAAAAUCCCUCGUGAUUCGUGUGUCUCGGCUCUUGCUCUGAUUGGAGGGCUGCUUCAGAGGGUCACCCCCAACGUUGACAACUCCCGCAUCGGAUGACGACAUGGUUCCUCCUCGAACCAGCUCUGAUACCAACUGUCACGGCCUUAGUGUUUCUAUUCACAAAGCCCGUGCGGCGCCCGUCUUCCUGCUCAAAGAUGGGCAAGCCUUUGUCCCUGUUGCUAGCCUAGACCUUCGCAUCCUACGACUAAAUAUGCAAAGGGAAUGACAGAGAGAGAAAGACAGAGGUUUACUCAAAAAACUAAGUACUCCACUACUUAGAAAAAAAGAAUUACAACCUACAAACACAAUCUGUCAUGUGUUUUGGCCUUAGCCAAACCCCACCAUUUAUAGGCUCCUAGAUACAUUGAAUCUAGUCUAUACUAACUCACCCAUUAAUGCAUACAAUAACUCACCCUCAUAAUGAGCCAUAAGCCCAAGAGUCACCCUAUUAACUCUUGGAAGUUUUGUGACCUUUGAGCUUCCAUCAUUGAUGGGAGAAGUUACAAAACCCUUUAUCUCCCCAUAGUCGGCUGGGUUCGGGUCUCUUUAACGACCACUCCGCUAGUGAAGUUGGGCCAAGAACUUAGAUUGCAUAGCAAUUUCGCUAAGUCCCUGACACGUGGCUCCCGUAGUCAUGCACGUUUUGUAUUGCUAUGAUGACACCUAAAUAGGGCGUUUUACGGCAGUAGACGAGAGAUAUGGGGAUGUAUGGCAUGGUUCCGGACACUUCGUGGGUUGAAACGGUAUCUGGAAUACCUAUUCGAGUCUUUAUGGCUAAACCAUUGGGUUGGGAGUGCUCGACCAUAUUUGCUGCUGGCUGGAGCUCCUUUGUAGGUACAUUCCGAGUGGAACUGAUCCUUGGGAGAGAUCUUGUAGUUGUUGUGCUGUCUCGAUGCCGAAAACUGCAAUUUCGAGAUUUAUCGGGACGAAAUUCAGCCAUUUCGGUGCACUGAUUAUGCAUUUGGACUCCGAAACUCGUGAGGGAUGUUCUGGAGGAUCCUCACUGGUUAUAAACAGCAAUAGAAAGGUGAGAUUUGUAUAGCUGGUUCCAUCACCGAAAUCGUUGACUUUCGGAGCCGUCGUGGUGUAGUUACGCAACUGUUGUACGUUUUGUCAAGCACUUGGCGUGUGGCUGUUGGACACCUAAUAUUGUGUGUCUCAGGAUAGUGAAAGGAUUAUUGUGACUCCCCAUUGAGUCGGCUAGCCUUUGGGCUGAUUGUGGCAGUUGACUAUUUUGUCCAGAUUCGGGUGACACCUAAAGGCAUCGAUUGAGUUGAGGACUCAGAUACUUGGUUAAUAAGGUGGGUGCUUUAAUCCGAAGUUGAUAAAGUUGUAUCUCAGUCGAUUUUCCACUAUGAUUCUAUUGUUCCAUCGUACAUGUUGAGUAAUACAACUUAUCAUGACACCGUACUAUUACUUGCUCAGUUAUUUUAUAUGUUGGUUGCUUUAUUUAUCUACUUAUCAUAUUGCUUAUGAUUUAUUGUGAUUGUCUCUAGACUCUGGAUGAUAUAUGACAUGUAGAAUAGGACCGGUCAUAGUUUUUUAUCCAGAUAACUAUGAUAUAACUUGGUAAGUUGGUGACUACUCAUAGACUGAGAUUUGACUUUAUUGGUCGGCUGAUUUACUCCUAUGUGAUUUGACCUUGUAGAUCUAUUAUUCUCUCUCAUACGAUUAGACUCAUUGGUCGACGAAUUUACUCCAUUAGAUUUGACCUUAGCGAUCUGUUGACUUAUCCUGUUCAUAGUUGGAAUAUAGCACGUUUCGCCUUGAUUCCUUUCAUUUGUUACCUCUUCCUUGACUCGUGUAGUAUAGCAUGCUAGUCAGCUUUGAGAUUAUAAUUAUGCUUGUGAGUAUGGACCUAUUUGGUUUCGUUGACACGUUUCGAGAAUAUUUAUUGUCUCCUUGUAGUAUAGCAUGCUAGUCAACUUUGAGAUUGUAAUUAUGCUUGUGAGUAUAGACCUAUUUGGUUUCGUUGACACGCUUGGAGAAUAUUUCUUGGCUCCUCGUUGUCGCCUAUGGGCGUUGAUUAGACUGUUGAGUUCAGUUGUCGGAGCUUUGAGCAUAUGCAUAUGACUUUAGCUUUAGAUGGCGCUAUUGCUUUUAGACAGGGUUCACAACCUAAAGUGCUUCAGUUUGCCAACCUAGUGGGACAUUGUUCAUAGACAUGAUUCGUCACCUUGAGUACUUCACCGCCGGGAUUAAUGCACACCGCUCUUAGACAGGAUUUGCAACCUUGAAUGCAGCAUGUUUUCCUCUAGAGUGGAAUUUGUUUAUGGGUCCUCCUGGCCUAGCUAAUAGGCAAGCUUACGCUAGGUCUAUACAGCAGGUCACAGUGAUUGGGUAUGAUAUUGGACGGUCUAUGAGUCAAAUCAUUUGACGCAUAGUGCUCUUAUUUGAAUCAUGUAUGACAUUCAAGUUGGUUGAUUUAAUUACAGUAGAGACAUCUCUCAGAUAUCUUAUGCCAUUUGCUUAUUAUCUUGCUACUGUGGUUGGUUGGUUGGUUAUCUUCAUUGCGUCUAAAUGGUUGAUUCUUCUUUACAGUAAAGGCAUUACACGGUACUUAAUUCACUUCAUGAUCUUUAUCUACUUAUAUUUAUGCUACCGUAAUUGAUAAUUCUUAUCUUAGUUGAACUCUUUACACUACUCCUUUAUUGGCUAAUGAGUGCAACUUGCCUUCGACAGCUGGUUGCGCCUAUUGAAAAAUAUAUUUAUAUGUUUCUCAAAUUCCCCAAUCUUUACUAGUGUUAUUGGCGAUGAAGAUUGGGGCACUGCUUGAGGACGCGGUUAGUUAGCGCCCAGAUAUUAUCUUUAGACAUUGGUGGCUAGUUCAGAGUUUAUUUUUCAGCUAUUAUCAUCUUUAUCAUAUCAUGUUGACUUGUAGCCUUAAUUGUGUUUAGAAUUGGUAUUCGGUUUUCCCUAUUCUCUUGGUUUUGAAUUUUGAUUGAGGUUUUCGAUCAAUUGUAGUUGCUUUACUUUCAGUAUUCUCUAGUUAUUUUGAUUGGUGUAGUUGUUUUGGUUGAUACAGUUGUUGUAAUUGUUGCGUUGAUUCAUACCUACUUAGAUUGUUUGAUGUGGUAGUUGUGGCUGUUGUUGUAUUGCUUGCGCUCCUAGCCGUGCAUGUAUAAAGGAGAAACUCUAUCCGUGUGGGACAAGAAAAAUUCUAUACGCGCGUGUGACGGAUCUGUGCCCAUCUCAAGUAAGAUUUCAAAAUAUAUAUAUUUCCAUAACCAAAGGGGCCCCCGGGCGUGACAAUUCCAACUGCUGGAAAAUAAUUUACAGGAACAGAGUAUCAAUUUGUCUUAAAUAAUUACAUGAGAUAAAUGUGAGCCCCUCAAUGCGCCAAAAUGUUUGGACAAGUGAAAAGAGGACAGAAUAGAGUUGAGAUCCCACAGCAGCUCGUACUUCCAACAGGUCCACUAGUUGAAUCACCAAGAGCAGCCUACCAGCAAACAUCGCAUUAUUGGGACGAAUCCAAAAUGCAUAUAAGUUGAUCGAACAGAACAACAAAGAGGCAGAAGCAGAAGCAGAAGCAGAAUGAAUCCUAACACACCGAUUGAUUGAUUGAUUGAUUGAGCAUGAUUGAUUGAGCAUAGAUUGAUUGAUUGAUUUGCUCUGUUACUAAGUUUAAACAACAAGAAUACAAGAAAUCUCAGAUCAACUUAAGUUGGCUAAGAAAGACAAGUGCUUGUAAAAAGAACAACUAAAGAAAAAGGACCUUGGUCAGUUUGUUAGCCCAAGGAACUCAGGGAAGCUUGGAUAUUUGGGCUCCCAUCCGAUCUCAGCACGAGUUUUUGAGUUAUUUAUCCUCUUGCCUAAAGGAUCAUUGGUUCCUGCAAUUGUGAGAGACAUAAAAAUAAAAUAAUGUUAAAGAGCAGUUUUAUCUUUGAAAAGGCAGCAUGACACAAAAGGAAAGAUGUUAGAAUAUAUAAAACACCUUCCUAGAAAUACGGCCUUGCACUUUGUGCCCUCAACAAAAGAAACCAAAAUUUUACCCUCAUUAAUAUAGUGAUGUUCACGCUAAACCGCCUUUUCCAAAUUAGGCUUUCCCUCAAUAAAACCGAUACUGCCAAGAUACCUGCAUCUAUGCUCAAAAAUGGAAGGGAGAGGUGGUGAUGAUGUAGGAGUAAAAGGUCAGGGCAGAGGAGGUGCCGGCACCGUAGCAAAAAGAGGUGGGGCCAGAGUAGGUGGUCGUGGUAGUGGAGGAAGAAAAAUUGGGAAAAGAACAGGGCAAUGGAGGGCACAGUGAUGGCCACAACGGAGGAUUACGUGGCGGCGGAGAUGAUGGAGGAAGAACACAUGUUGCAGUGACAGUGUAGGACCCAAAGGCCAAGAUGGAGACCGUGAUAGAGGUGGUAAGGACGGAGAAAGAAGAGGAAGGAGAGACAAAUCUGAAGAAGCAGGGUUGUUUUCAUUAUUGCUAAUCCAUUAGCAAUGUAACCCCUAGAAAGAUUUUCUGAUAGAUCGAGAGGGCAAGAUGAAGGUUUUUGAAUCCCAGCAGGCAAGUGCAAAAGGAACUAUUUUCGGGGAUUUUUUUGCCUUCCCAGAAAAAAAAAAAAAAAAAAAAAAAAUGAAAAAGGUAUCAAAGCUUGCCUGUAAAACCCUCGAACUUCUUGCUGAACUUUCCACUAUUGUUCACGCAAUCCAUUAGUUCUUGCCUAGAAAGAGGAGAAGCUAUUUGAUAAAAUUUUUGUAGGAAAGUAAAUAAGGUUGAGGUUAGAAUAAUUCAUUGGGUUUCGUGCGAAACAUCAAUGACAGAGUAAAAAGGAUAGUGAAACAAGACCUGGAUAAAGGAUGAUUAUCACAACCAAGAAAGAUACGUCCACGAAGCUUCUUCUGCAUGAUUGCUACCGAAAGGGAAGCUGCAUCCUGUAAAUCAAGUAUUUCAUAUUAAACAUCUAAAAUCCUCGAGAUAAGUUACCCCCCCCAAAAAAAAACAGCCCGAGUUCAUUCCAUAUCGGGAGAAAAGAGAAAGGAGUUCGGAUUUUAGAAUAGUUCGGCAUAAUAAGUCUUUUCAAUCUUAAACAGUAAACAAGAAGCACAUGAAUACUAGAUUUUUCUUUGAUCAAAGAAACAGUAUAUUAUUCAAUUAACCCGUACUGAAGGGCACAAGUUUAGCUAGCCAACAAGUUUCAGUUCUAAAAUUUGCAAAUAAUGAUUUUCUGCUUCGUUUCCAGCCGUGAACCUCGAUGUGUAGUGAAGUACUAUUAUUGUGAUUAUCCAGCAUUUAAAAUAUUAUUAUCUAGUCUACCCAUAUGAACGAACAGAACCUAAACCUAAGUUGUUUCUGCUGUGUACAGAACUUUAUGACCAAGUUCAAGAUAGCAUUUGGCUUCAAAAUCUUGUUUAUAUGUUAAUAAGUUGGUGGUUAACCCAGGAGAAAAUCUGGUUUUACCUCAUAAUGAAUAAGAUUCAGUAUAUGAUCUGGACGCAUAUCAACAGUUCCUUUCUGCAACCAAUAAGUGUGGGCACCUCUAUCUUCUUUGUGUAAACAGUCAAGAAAACAGGGAAGCACUCGUAUAACAAUUUGAACAAUAAGCAAAACAGAUUAGCAAUUCCUCAAAAUCAAGGAUUUAGGUGCCGAGGUGUGGGAUCGUGCCAAGCACUUGUUGGCAUAGUAUGGCACAGUGCAGUGCCAUCCCGAUGUAAGCUGCUGACAAAAUACCCUGUGUGCAUGACAAACUUCAGUAUGAAAAGUUUAUUUUCUUUCACACUGAUACUAUUUUAACUCUUUUAAUAUAUUUUCUAUCAAAUCUUUUAUAUUAUAAGGACGUAAUUACCUGCUAAUUUUGAAAAAAAGAGGGUUUUAAGCCACGCCAUCAGCACAGGGAAAGCAUCAUGUAGAUACCUUGUCAGCAUGGUAUCGCACGGUGACACAGCCCAUGCUAACGGGCACUUACACGUUUAAGGAAGGAUAUAUAAAGCCCUGCUAGCCUCAACACGCAGCCUCCAACCUCCAGAACAACCUUUUCUGCUUUUAAAAGGACAUCAGCCCGAGGACUUCUACCAAUUGGCACGACUGGAGAAUCCUACAAAGAACAUUUUGACAGUUAAAAGAGACAUGCAUUGCUGCGUGUGUUGCAUAUAUGUGCUAGGAGUUUAGGGGAUAGUUUUAACUUGUUUGUAACUUAGUACGACAUAUUGUGAUAAAGCGAUAAAAAAACAAAGAGCUUGUUAAGAUCUCUCCUCGUCCACAUAUAAAGGCUUUAAUAACUAACUUACAUGUAGCUUGCAAAUCCAACUAACACAUUGGGUAAACUCGAAAUAACAGUAAGUCAGAAAAUUAACUUCAGCACGUUCAGGAAUAAGUCCAGUUGACUGUUUUAAGAAGUGACACCCCAAACUCUGUCCUAUUUCAUAUUAGUCACUCUCAUGAUCCUUCCAUAUAUUAGUCACUCCCAUGAUCCUUUAUUAGAAUAGAAAUUAUCGCCUGCACUCAAUGCUUCCACAAGCCUUGCACUGGCCCAUCCACUGGAGUUUCAUCCCAUUUUCAAAUGUCCAUGCUUUUGCCAACUAAGGCAAGGCCUAUUCUUUGUGUACAAAUUGGAUGCUAGAUCGAAGAUAAGAUAAGGGGUGGAGGACAAAUGAGUGGAUGCUCCAUUAAUGUGCAGACGCACCAGGAACAGGCAAUGAUUUUGCCUCUGAGAGGUGAUGACAAGAGGGACUAACAUGAAAUAGUACAAAGUUUGAAAUGUCUGAUGAGCACUUUUAAAAGUUCAGGGACCAAAUUUAAACUCUGCUAGUAGUCUAGAGAGUACUGCGAUUUGUCUUUAAGAAGUCUUGAGACUACUCUCAAACACAUCAUAUUGUGGUUAAACAAAACAAUAAAUGAGCAAUAAGAAAUAUGAAAACAUAAGAGAGAUGAAAGUUUAGUUGUCAGAAAUCACCAUCAACAUUGAUAAAAAAGCAAGGGAUGGCAAACACAACCACCUCAUUUCUACAACUCCAUGGGAAAGAGUCAGCAUUAAGAAUCUUGCAGUGUAAAAACACAAAUUUGCAGAAGCAUCAAGUAAAACUUUUGGGCCUGAAUGUUAGAUCAAGAGAAAGUAACAGAAGAAUAACCUUGUUCGAGAUCCAAUAAGGUGUAAGCAGUUUGGGUUCAAAUUAGUGCAUCUCGCAAGAAAUUGCUGUUUCAUUAGACAUCAUGCCUCCACCUUUUGAGGUAAAAAGGAAAAAAUAGCAACAGGAGAGAUUUGAUAGAAAUGCUAUGCUUUUGUACAUAAUUUCGUCUCUAAGCUAUAAACGGGAAAAAAGAAGAUAGCCACCCUUUUCUCAUUGAACUCUCUUGAAGAGAGUAAGAUUGUAGUUUGAACAGCUAACAACAAAUAUUUCUUAACAUGGUUAUGUUGAAAUACUCUGAGCUAACAUCAUUCUAGUAUUCUUCAAAUGAUAAAAUGGUUCAGAGCUCAAAAUGAAUAAACUUAGGAAUUCUAUGACUGAACCAAGAGAUAGCUUAGCUACAUGAUAGCUAAGAAAGGUAGUACAANAAAAAAAAAAAAAAAAAAAAAAGAGGUGAAAAACUGGAAAAGUAGUUUUCCAUGCAAAACUUUUUUCUUGAAGAUUUUUUUUUCAUACUUUUCUGAGGAACCAAACAGCUCCUAAGAUGAAAUCAUGAAAUAAGCAUGCACAAUUUCUGCAUAGGGAGUAAAGACCAAGCAAUAAUUUCUCAGAGCAACCGAUGUAACAAGAUGCUUACUCUUUCUUAGAACAACUAAAAGAUCACCAUAUCGAAUGAUGCAGGGCAAUCAUAAGAGCAGAAGCAAGGAUUAAAGUGUGCAUCGACACGGGCCAUAUCCACCGUGCCGUAUCGUGCUAGCAAGAUAUCGGCACAAUAUAGCCCCCGUGCCAAUGAUACAACUCAAAAUCCUUUAUUCUUAAAAUUAGUAAGUAAUUUUUCAAUAAAAUUCAAAAGAUUUGAUAAAAAUACAUAAUAAAUAAUUGGCAUAUUUUGUUGCUAAUGAAAAUAAAUAUUUCAUAUCAUUACGUGUCGACACACAUAUAUUUUUUAUGACCGGCACUCAUCGGCACAGCCCGGCACGCACCGUGCCGUACCGCGCCAGCAAGUUUCUGGCGCGACCCUGUGCCACGGUACUUAAAUUCUUGAGCAAAAGAACGAUGUAACAAACAAGACUAGCCAUACAAUAAUCACCUAAUCAAUUUAGUGCAAGUGCAUAUAAGAUAUGAGUUAAAAACUCAUAAUGAAGUUUCUUGCCAUUUGCAAGUUCAAAAAAAGAUCAGUGCCAUGUAAGUUUUUGAUAACAGUAGAGGACAAGUGACAACAAUAUUAUACAACAUAGGAUUUUUUUAUCUUAAAAAGAACCACAGAAGUACUCUCACUAGUUCACUAAAGGGAGCUUUAAAAUAUUUUAAUCCGAAGAAAAAAUUAAUCACCGCCCACUUAAAGCAGAAGUAUUUUGAGCAGCAUAUGCUUAAGAAAUAAGAAUAUAUGAAUAUAAAACUAUUAAGUUUUUUGAGUGGAACCAAUGAUAAAUCUUCAAAAAGAAAAAGGAAUAACUUUCAAUUAAGUAACAAAACAAAUUUAUCAUUAAAGAAAGAACUUAAUAGUUUUAUAUUCAUAUAUUCUUAUUUCUUAAGCAUAUGCUGCUCAAAAUACUUCUGCUUUAAGUGGGCGGUGAUUAAUUUUUUCUUCGGAUUAAAAUAUUUUAAAGCUCCCUUUAGUGAACUAGUGAGAGUACUUCUGUGGUUCUUUUUAAGAUAAAAAAAUCCUAUGUUGUAUAAUAUUGUUGUCACUUGUCCUCUACUGUUAUCAAAAACUUACAUGGCACUGAUCUUUUUUUGAACUUGCAAAUGGCAAGAAACUUCAUUAUGAGUUUUUAACUCAUAUCUUAUAUGCACUUGCACUAAAUUGAUUAGGUGAUUAUUGUAUGGCUAGUCUUGUUUGUUACAUCGUUCUUUUGCUCAAGAAUUUAAGUACCGUGGCACAGGGUCGCGCCAGAAACUUGCUGGCGCGGUACGGCACGGUGCGUGCCGGGCUGUGCCGAUGAGUGCCGGUCAUAAAAAAUAUAUGUGUGUCGACACGUAAUGAUAUGAAAUAUUUAUUUUCAUUAGCAACAAAAUAUGCCAAUUNGAAUAACUUUCAAUUAAGUAACAAAACAAAUUUAUCAUUAAAGAAAGAACUUAUGUACAGAUUUAUACCUCAUCGCAGAAACCAUUGUCAUUGCAAUCAUAAACAGCAGUACUGGAUGUAAACAAGAAGGAACCUUCACCACUCCAAUUUGAUGCUGCAAAUCUGAACAUGUUACAGAAAGUUAAGCAUGUUAGCAGUGUCAAAGACAUCACUACCUUACACAUUAUAAAAGACAACCAAAUGCUUAAAAUAACUUUAGGCAAGGAUUUCUGUGCACAGCCUGUGCCACUGUGCCAGCGACACAGCAUGGCAUAGAGGCACACAUUUGCGCAGGUUUUCAUGAAAAAUUAAUCUUUUAGAGUGUUUCAAUAUCUGUAAGGGCCAUUUUGGUUCACAAUUUGUAAUAAUCCGGUAAUCCUCCAUAUUUUCUAUUGAAAAUAGUCAAAUUAGUACCAUUCAACUCAAGUUGGGUAGUUGUAAAAGUUGUUAGUUAAAUAGUGGAAUCAUUGUAGAUUCCUAAGUGGUAGCCGGUAGGAAUAUUAGAUUAUCAUGGGGUAGGACGCAUUCUCAUUUUCAUGUUUGAUGGAAAUUAGUAGUAGUUCAUUAACAAGAACAUAGUAGUUCUUACGAACCUCCCAACCCAAGUGGCUUGGUAAGUUACUAAAAAACUUGCCAUUCCAAAUAUAAAAUAUACAACAUUCCUAGAAUAUUAAAAACCUUGAACCAAGCGGCCCCCAAACACUAUAAAUAUAUAUAAACAACUCACACAAGUAAAAAUUGAGUCAUAAUCAUUUUAAUCACAAAAAGAAAAUUCGUUUUAUAUAUAUUAUGAAAGUAUAUGCAUGAAACCAAAACCAAAGUCAUAAUUGGAUAAAGUUUUAUAAGGAAACACUACCGUGGAUAAAAUCACUUGAUCUAAAAUGAUAAAAGAAAAUGGAGGAAAUCAUUUUAUUUGGAUUUUUGCAAUAAACAUUUGUCUUAUAAUGCAAUGCAACUUAUUAAUUGCUCCAAAAUGUUAGUAGAUUUACAAGAUCUACAAAUUUUUAUGUAUGAAAAAAACUUUUUGUAAAAGUUUUUACCUCACAAAAGAAAAACUCAAAAAGAUUCUAACCAUUCUGUUGAUACCAUGUCGAGAAGACCCCGUGCCACGUGCUGGCACGGCCUCGGCACUGUACAACAAGGGGUAGCAUGGGUAAUAAUUGCCUUGAGGAAAUAAAAAGUAAUAUACCGUAGGUGUGCAUUUGGGGGGGGGGGGCAAAAGGAGAAAAGGUGAGCCUAGACACGUUUAACUAUUGGCCAUUUUGAAAUGGAUGACUGCAUCCUCCACACCCUUCCUUUUUUUUUUUGGAUUGACAAACCCCAUCCCUAUAGUCUGUUUUGAUUUUUUGAGUUUUUCUGUCAGCUGGCUUGGGCACUUCAUCAAAGUUAAUGGCUCCAUAAAUUGUUAGCCCCUCAAUGUUAACUGAUUCCACAAUACUCAUUGUCAAUAGCAUAUAAUUCCUCAAUCAUCUCAUGGCAUAAACUCAAAAACAAUCAAAAGUCGCAGGCAUCAAUCAAACAAAAAGUAAAUAUUGGGGUCUACCUCAAUUGGGUUAUAGGGGUUAUCUUUACAUUUUUAACAAAAGAAAAGACAAAGAAUGCCUAGAAGAAAGAUUGGCAUUGUUCACCAGGUGCAGAAUUCCUAAAUUCCUACGAAAGGAAAUAAUCAUAGCAUUAGUCAUACCACUAUUUCUUAACUAGUAUCAAUUGAUUACCCAGCAACUGUCCAAAAAUGUUUCCAAAACUUCAGGUCAUCAAGCACCAAAUUCAUACUGUACUUUGAAUGGGACAUUAAAAACUAGCAUGAAGCUGAAGAAUACUCGGCCUAACUUAUACUGCCACAUCCUUAAAGAGAUUUUGGCAGUAAUCAGUUAUUACUUUCUAUAUAAGAGAAAAAAGCAUUAUAUAUUUUUACACUACGGGCGCGUUUGGUUCGUGUUAUGUAACAUUACAGAUUAUUUCGACAUAUCCAGGUAUCUUGGAUUUCUGAAUGAGAUUACUACUGAUGCUGUAUUAGCGCGUUUGGUUUAAUCAAUAAUAUAAUCCUGGAUUGCAAUGUAUAUAAUAUUACUAUAUUUGGUUCAGUUUAUAAAAUUCAGUAAUCCUAACAACAAAGUGUAAUCUAUUCCAAAAUUGUCCUUAGUCAUAUUUGGCAAAAAAUGUUUACUAUUUACAAAUAAUAUUUUUUUUAUUAAAAUUUAUUUUAAAUAAUUUAAAAUUUGAAUUUAAAUUUUAUUUUUAAAUAUUUUAAUAUUUUAAUUUAAAAUAUAAAUAUAAACAUAAAAUUUAAUAUUUUAAUUUUAAAAUACAAAUAUAAAAUUUAUAAAUUUAAAUUUUAAAAUUUAAAAUUUAAAAUUUAAAAUUUAAAGUUUGAAAUUUGAAAAUUGAAAUUUAAACUAUAGAUAUAAAUUUAAAUUUUAAAAUUUAGAAUUUAAAAUCCAAAUUUUAAAUUUAGAAUUUAAAAUCCAAAUUUUAAAUUUAGAAUUUAAAAUCCAAAUUUUAAAUUUAGAAGUUUAAAUUUUAAAUUUUAAAUUUUGAAACUUGAAACUUGAAAUUUAAAAAUUAAAAAUUAAAAAAUUAAAAUUUAAAAUUUAAAAUUUGAAUAUUAAAAAUUAAAUUUAAAUUUUAAAAUUUGACAAUUUAAAAAUUUAAAUUAAAAUUUUAAAAAUAAUGCAUUGAAAGGGUUUGGGGGUUCGAAAGGGUAAACUUGUAAUUUUACAUAAAUGCAAGAUAAUCCGCCAUUAGUAAUACGACAUACCCACCCCCCGCUCGUUUAUAUUUUUGGUGUAAUCCUGCACCAUUUGUAAUGCUACAUUACUAACCAGGUUACAUACCAGAUGAAUCAAACGUAGUAAUCCUGGCAGGAUUGUUAAUCCUGCCAAGAUAACUCGAACCAAACGCACCCUAACAAUAAAAUAAAAUAGAAGAGAGAAAUAUUCUCCACACAUAAGAACAGGCUAUGGCAAGUGAAACAUAAAGACCUAGAUAUACUAUAGAACUGCAGAAAAGAUGACAGAAGGUAUUGGUUCUCAUACUACUUGAGAAAAACCACAUGCACAUCAUCCAAACAACAAAUCAUUGGGCAAUAGAUCCUUGGGCCUUAAUUUGUAGAGACCCUCAACUUAUGUGGUGUCUAAUUGCAGAAAAUUCUGUCAAAACUUGAUGGUCUCUGUGAUUUUUUGAGGAAAAAUUUCUGCAACUUAAUGGAAUUUCUGUUACUGGACAGUUGUAAGAAUAUUGGUAACUUCUGUUAUGGGAAUCUCUAAGUUCUAAUCAAAGUGAGAGAAAUUUCUGACAUCAAACAAAGCAUUAGUUGAGGGCUUCAACUUCAGAAACUUAAAUUCAAUGACUGUUUCCAAGUGGCCUCGCCCUAUUUAUAUCAUAAGUGACCUAAAUUUUUACCUAACAUCGCCAGGGUAAUCUUCAGUGCGAGAUGGAGGAGCACAGAAAAUAACGUAAGGAACUUUCUUCGCCAUUGUUGAUUGCCUUAAGGAGGGAAUGAUACCAAGUGCAGUCAGUUCAUUGUGAUGUUCUGUACUCAUUGUCUGACCGUAAACGUUGCAACCUGGAUGCUCCUGUCAGCAAAUUGAAAGAAAACAUUAUCAAUUCAAUGAACCUUACCUUGCACAGGAUUUCUAUAGUAAGAGUGGAAAUAAUAAAUCAAAAGAGAAAAGGCCAUUAAAUAUCCAGAUCAAGGUUUAAAGUGUCGCCCUGUGCCAUACGGCACGGGGCGACACGUACCUGUGUAGUGGGAGGUCUCGGACCCCCCCGUCGUGCCGCGGCACACACCUGCGUAUCGCGCGAGACAGCAUGAUACGCGGGUGGGUGCCACGACACUGUGUCGUGCUGGCACUAUUUUUUUUUUUUUUUGGCUUUUUGCUUUUUUUUUUUUUUUUUUUUUUUUUUUUUUUUUUUUUUUUUUUUUUUUUUUUUUUUUUUUUUUUUUUUUUUUUUUUUUUUUUUUUUUUUUUUUUUUUUUUUUUUUUUUUUUUUUUUUUUUUUUUUUUUUUUUUUUUUUUUUUUUUUUUUUUUUUUUUUUUUUUUUUUUUUUUUUUUUUUUUUUUUUUUUUUUUUUUUUUUUUUUUUUUUUUUUUUUUUUUUUUUUUUUUUUUUUUUUUUUUUUUUUUUUUUUUUUUUUUUUUUUUUUUUUUUUUUUUUUUUUUUUUUUUUUUUUUUUUUUUUUUUUUUUUUUUUUUUUUUUUUUUUUUUUUUUUUUUUUUUUUUUUUUUUUUUUUUUUUUUUUUUUUUUUUUUUGUUUUUUUCUUUGGGGUACUUGAAGUAUCCUGGAUACCCCACACCCCUCAAAGACAUUGCAAAUCAAAAAUCCACUUGUUAAGUAAGUUAAAAAAAUUAUAAUCUAUUUUUUUUUGCAUAUCAAUAUACGGGCAAAUUUUUAAUUUACAUAUCCGAUCCAUACGGCCCGAGCCCUUUGCUUCCACCACAGACAUCCAUUUUUUUUCACAAAUUAUUUUAUCAAAAUUUGUCACACUGACGAAAAUUUUGGCAAAUUUAGGUAACAAAAUAGAAUUCAAUAAACAAAUUUUGAGACAUAUCAAGCAUAAAAUUUUAUUUUUGCGUUAGAAGAUUAAAAAUACUGAUAAAAUUAAAAGCUAAAUUAUAUCAAUUGAACUUAAAUUUAUUUAAUUUAUUUGUCAUAUAAUUUAUUGCUUAAUUUUUUUUGAUAGAUCUAAUAAUUUUUUGAAAAAAUUAAUUAAAAAAUAAUUUUUUCAAAUACUUUUUAAAAUAAGUUUAAUUUUUUUUUUGUAUUUUAUAAAAGAAAGACUGUAAUAUGGUCAAAAGAAAGAAAGAUGUUUUCGCAUUUUAAAAAUUCUAACCUAUAAAAAUUUCGAUUCUGCAUUAGAUAUAGUUGUAUUUUACAUACAAAAAAGCUUACAAGUAUAUUAAUUGAUGAAUAUAAUAAGCUAUACAUAGCAAAUAUUCAUAAUUUUUAAUUAAAUCUUUCAAAAUAAUAUUAUAAGAGCUUAUUAGAACUAAAAAAACUGAAAUAAAUCCGUACCAAAGCGUGCCAGUAGGACGGCAUGCGUAUCCAUCGGCAUGCAAACGUACUAUGUAUCGGCACGGUAUCGGCACGGAAGCAUGCCGGUGCCAUACCGUGCCAAGCAAACAGCGGCACGCCCCGUGCCACAGCACUUUAAACCUUGAUCUAGAUCAAUGCACGAAUCAGCUGUUGCAAUUAACUAAAGAAAAGUUCACAUCUAAAGCCACCUAGAGUUUACUCGUGUUAAAUUAUAUGACACAAUCAUUUUAAGCUGGUAGAGAAUGAUAUUUUCAUUUUAUUUUUAUAUUUAACACUCACCUUCACGUUUGGGCUUGAGAGCCCUAUGACGUGGAAUUAAAUGAGAGGAAAUCAAUAAUGCUAGGAGCUUGCCGUGACUUGAACUCAGAACCUCCUGCUCUAAUACCAUGUUAAAUUAUAUGAAACAACUAUUUGUCUCUAAAAGCUUAAGCUGGUAGAGAGUUAACAACUUGGGUUGAAAAUAUUCUCACAGAAUAAUAUUCUGUCCCAGAUAAUGUCAUCUCUAUCACCACCUAUGCAUCUCCAACUAAAAUUGACAGGUAAUCUAUUUGGCUCCAAUAUGUUGCAGUUUUAUUUCCAUAGUUCUAUUACUAUCAUACUAUAUGAUGAACUACUUCAUUUUGUUAUAAGUUUAUUGUUCCGGCACUUGGAAUGACAUACAUAACCCUAGAUCUUCUACAAAACAGCGCAGAACAUCAGCGUCUUCAGUCUUUAGGAAUGAAGUGAAAGAAACAAGGAAUUUCCUUAAUGACAUGACUAACAUUACAAUCUGUAUUUACUUUAAUUAAAACAGUCUACGCUGAUCAAACACAAAUAAAAGAUGUUUAAAUUUUAAGAAGGUUCAAGAAAGUAAUUCUAAAUCUUAAUAUUAGCCAUAAUUCCCAACAACCUGUUGCCACUUUUCAGCUACCAUCCGACCAAGAACACCUGGGCCCACAAUCAGCAGAUCAUUUUCUCCAACAAUGUCAAAGCAAGAUAACUUCAUUCCUGACUCAUAAGAAGUUUCUGCACCUAUGAAGCAAACAGAGGCUUUCAAAUUAUAUAUACAUCAAGCACCUCUAUACUUCUACCCUAGAAAUUUAGAAGGAUAUGCUUUUAAAAACUGCGCUAACAAGGGUAUAUGCAAAAAUUAUUUUUUUUUAUAGAGGUUAACUUGUAACUGAUGAUGUUGUGGGGAUAUAUAUAUGUAAAAGCCUCAAGAUAGAAAAGGAACUUCUGAAACGCUUACGCAAUACUAGUGCUUACACAAGAAAAUCAAACAUUAUAAUCACAACUUCAUAUCAGAGCAGUCUGUUAUUAGAUUUAAUAACACUUGUUAUUAGAUUUAAUCCCCUCUUCUAUUUGAUUUCAUUGUUAUUAUCACGGCCUGCGUCGAUGGGCAGUCUGUUAUUAGAUUUAAUACCCUUUUGAAUAAAAUUAGUAAUUUCAGCACGCAAAGCAUAACCUCCAAUCCCUUAAUAUAGUGUCAAACUGGUGCUAUCAAAAUAAAUCUAUAAAUUUAGAACCAAAGAUUUAAGGGCCAUCGGCACAGGCCAUGCCUACCAUGCCGAUAAAAUAUUGGCGCGAUAUAACCCCCCGUGCCCAAGGCACGGUUCAAAAUCUCUCUUCUUUGAAAUUAGGAAGUAAUUAUCUCAAUAAAGUGUAAAAGGUUUGAUAAAGAUAUACAAUAAGCAACUAGAAUAUAUUAGUGCCAAAGAAAAUAAAUAUUUCAUGUCAUAGUGUGUCGCCACAUAUGUAUUUUAUGAUCGACACACACCGGCAAGACAUGGCAUGCACCAUGACCUUCCGUACCAACAAAUUCUCAACACGACCCUAUGCCACGGCACUUAAAUCCUUGCUAGGAACAGAACAGGUCAAAUAACAUGGUUUUAUUCUAUUCCUUAUCGGGCAUUGGCACAUUCGAGAGGAGAAAAUCGAUAAGAGUUGUAUGUAGGGUAAAAGGAGAAUCUAAACCACCAACACAUUAAUUGAAACGAAGAGGAUGAUCAGUUUAUCAUAAAUCAUGGUUUAUUUCCACAGUUAGGCUCCUGACUAAACUAGCCAUCAAUGACUAUCAACUAGGAAAAGAUAACAUGGACAUUAUACUUGGUUUUAGUAGUACUGUUAAGUUUGGUAGCUUCAGAGCGUAUACGCACGAGAUCCAUUGCCUCUUCGUCAAGCAACAAAUAGAAUUUGCAAACUUUCAUAAACGAUGAAAAAAGGUUCUCCAUUUGGUAAAAGGAUCAACUAUUCCACAUUACACAUAGGGCUCCUUUCAGCAGUUAAUUAGCUAACUAACCUAUCGAUCUUUUUUCUGAAAUGCACUAAUCCAUCAACCUUCAAAAAGGUAUUAGAUACAUUGAAAUAAGUGCUGCACUACCACAGAUAAGAACCUGCGGAUGAACAGGCGAUAACAGUAGGGCUACUGGAUAAACUACAAUUAUAAUUUCAUCAAGCAUGAACUUAUAAAACCUAAUCACCAAAAUCCAAGGAGGAUUUUUGCAAAUUUUGGAUCCAAAGCUGUUGUCCUGAAUCUAAAGGUCCUUCGCCAACAUUGUGAUAGAUUUACACACAAAAGAUCUCAACCGGAGGCAUUUCGGUCCUCAAAAAUAUAUUACGAGCCAUAGUCGAAGUGGGCUGAAAUUGCAAAAUCAAAUAAUGUGUAGUGCUUUUGAAAAUGGCAAAAGAAACAAGCAUAAUAGCAUACCAAUAAAUUUGUACAAUCAGUAUUUCCUGAAAGUACUGCUGUUAAAUUCUUAAAUAACAAAAAUGACAUCCAAAAAGAGAUUAAGAAACCACCAUUUGUCUCCAAAAGCUUAAGUUACCAAAUAACUAAUUUGAUAUUUUAUAGUCAACACUCCAAACGCUUAAGCUACCAAAUAACACUAUUUUAAUAUUUCAUAUUCAACACUCUCUCUCACGUGUAGGUUCAAGACUUUUACCAAAUAACACUAGUUUAAUAUUUUAUAUUCAGCAAUCCCCCUCGCGUCUAGGUUCAAGAUUUUUUGACAUGCCCAAAACGUGAACUUGGAUUUGAAUGGAAGGAAAUUAAAUUAAUUGAAUCUAGGAGCCUGGCAGAAUUUGAAUUCACGACCUUAUACUCUGAGACUCUGAUACCAUGUAAAAUAACGUGAAACAAAUAUUUUCGUCCAAAAACUUUAAAGUUGUCAGAAAACAAGGCUUUAAUAUAUUAUAUUCAACAGUCCCCCGAACAUCUGGGCUCGAAAUGUGAAUUUGAAUUAAAUGGAAGGGAAUAAAAUAAAGGCUAGGGUCUUGGUGGGAUUUGAACUCGGAACAUCUUACUCCCAUAGCAUGUGAGGAAACAAUCAUUUCUCUCCAUAAGAUUCCAGCAGUGAUUCUAUCAAAUUUCACUACUCUAACUACUUGAGUGUAGAUUUCAUAAUAAAUAAAUAAUAACCAAUAGCUCAUGAAACCAUUAAUUUUAAUUUUAAUUCAAAAUUCUUGAUUCAGAUAACUCAAAUCAAAACAAAUGAAAGGCUAAGGGGUGCUAAUAAAAAAAAACAGGGAAAAAUAGAUCAGAUUCCACUAUUCAUGAGAUUCUGCUAUUCAUCGAAUCUAAAUCCUAAGCCCAAUCGCAAGGCCAACCAGUUAAGCACGAUCGACCAGAACACGCAUUGACGCAACCAAACCCUAGGGUCGUGCGAAGAAUAAGAGGAGGAGGAGGAAGAGGAGGAGGAGGAGGAGGAGGAAGAGGAUGAGGAGAGGGCAAUGGCGAAGGAGAGGAGCUCACCGACGGAGGCGGAGGCGGAGGAGGAGGAGGCCAUGGAUACGGAGCGAAGGAUGGGGCGAGAGCGAAGGGGAACGGAGAAGAGCGUGGAGGAGGAGGAGGGGAGGGAAAGACGAAGAGGAAGAGGAAGAGGAAGAGGAGGAGGAUGAGAGGAGAAGCGAAUCGCAGCGGCGACAACCACGACUCCCAUUGAAGAAGAAGAAAGAUUAGAGUGGGAGAACAACAACGGGGCGGUUUUAUUUUAGCAAAUCGGGUGACAAGGAAGAAUCCACGUAUCUAUAUCUAUGCAUUACAUUAUCCAUAAAAAAACCAUUAAUUAAUUAGCAAAAGCACUAUUUGGACCUCCAAGUCACUAGGUACCAUUUAGUUCGGGAAUAAUGAUUUUGGGGAUAAAUUUGUUUAAUUCUGGAAUAGUCUGCUAUUCUAGAAUAAUCAGGGAUAAAAAUAAAAUAGUAUUUGGUUUGUAAAACGAUUAUUUCUGAAAAUAACAGAAAUUAUGUUUGGUAAGUUUCUUGGAAUAAAUAAGAAUAGUGACAAAAAGUGUUAGAUUAAUUUUAUAAAUACCAAUUUUGCCCUUAGCUUUCAUGUGCAAAUAUUUUGUAAGUUACCCAACCAAUUAGAUGCAACAUUUAGCUAAACAAGAGAACAUUUUAUACACAUGAUUGCUAGAUUAAUUUUAUUUUUAAUUUAAUGUCAGCACAUUAGAAAUUAUGGUAGUAACAUAUGCUGAAGAGAAAAUAAUUAAAUUUAAGAAGUUCAAGUCAUUGUUAGAUAAAACUAAUAUUGUUAAAUUAUACAAGAAGGCUGUUAAUUACAUCUAAUUCAAAAUUAUAAUAAAAUACAAUGCUGCUUAAUUACUACUAUACAAAACCAAACAACAUGAAGCUAUACAAGAAGGAUGUUAAUUACAAAAUCCCAAAGGCAAGAAAAGAUGAAGAAGAGACAUUGUAUUGAAAAAUAUCAACAUCCAACUCAUACAAAGCAAUUCAGGAGUGCAAGUAACAAUGCAAAUAGUUAAAAACAUCCAAUUACGGGAAAUUUAACAACAGAACAAAGUAGGUUCAAGGUGAAGACAAGAUACACAACUAGAUAAAGCAAAUUACAAAGCAUGUUCACACAAAUUUAUAAAAAUUAUAUCAUUUCCAAUAUAGCCUCCUAUCUAUUGUUCCACAGUUGCUCUGUGAUCAUAGUGUGAAGGGCGUCACCUCGCCGAGACUCAUCUGGGCCAAUAGGAGGUAUCGAGUCAUCAUUUUGGUCGUCUGUGGGGAAUUGGUCCAUUUGCAUGUUGAAAUAUUGUCACGCCCCGGGACCCAGCGGAAGCCCGCCCGGCGCGUGCCCAGACCCGCCAUACGUCUAAAACGUAUAAGGCGUCUAGGAACAACAAUAAUAAAAGCAAUAUUAAAGGACAUCUAGGAAUAUCAGAGCAUAAUAAAUGUCUAAAUGCUACAACAAAGGAUGAGGAAAAGCUGUAAAUCCACUAAAUAAGGCAUAAAGUAAAUACAAUAGGAAAUCCCAAAUACAAGUGCUAAGAGUAGAUACAUAGGUGGUCUCUCUACAGGGUACAAAACUCUCACUCUCUCAACUACAAAAGAAAGAGUAAACCACCUAGGCAAGUAAGCUCCUCGCUAGCUAGCUACGCGAUCCCCUUGCCGCGAUCCCGUGCCUCCGCCGGUGCCGAAGGCUCUGAAAAGGAAACCAUAAAAGGGGCGCUGAGAUACUAAUCAAAAUAGUUCCAGUGUCGAUUACUGACUCAGUGAAUCACCGAGCAAGCCAAACACAAAAAAGAGGUUAGUGAAUAUAGAUUAGAAAAGCGAAAGUAAGUAAAAAUGUAACUUACAUAAACAUGAUAUCUCUACUAUAGCCUAAAUAGCAUAAUAUGAAUAAGACUAUGGUGAAGUAAAAGUCUCAACAUAUCAUAAUUUCACAAUGGCGAAAUAAUAAAGUUCUAUUGUUUCCUAUUACUAGUACAAUGUCCAAAUAAUACUCUAAUCAUCCAUCUUCGCACAUGUCAUAACGAAUACUCAAGCCGAAUCUGAAGAGACCCACCCGAAGGCUGUCUAAUAGCCCUGAGACGCCACCGAAGGCUGUCUGGCGGGUUGCCGAGCCAAUGGCCCGUGGUCGUCAUGCACCCCACCUAGGAUGGGCCUGCCCACGGCAAUCCACUUCGCGCUAAAUCCCGCAGCCGGCGAGUAUGAAUCCGGCUGAUGGCCAUCCCGAUGGCCGGCUUAGUAGGGAGCGACCCUCACAAGCAUAGUGCGGAAUGAGCAUGGCAAUACAAUACGAUCCGUCCAAGUACCAAGUUCCUCCAUGUCAUAAUAACAAUGGGAAUGUGUCAAGAUAAUCUCAAUGCCUAUCUAAUGUCAUCACUGUCUCUAACAUGGAAUAUAAGCAGAUAUGUAGUGGCCUAUCAUAUGUCUCUAUAAUGGCAGGUUUCAUAUUUACUAGUUUCAAGUGCCCCUUUAUGACCUCUUCUGCUCUCUAUGUCAAAAAACAUGGCAACUAUGUUCCCAAGUCACAUAUUCCGUCAGUAAUCCUCAAUAUAAGAUGAAUUGUUUUCACUUGCAAAUUAACACUUCUUCCGUAAUGGCAUGCAUUCUACUCAAUAGCUUCUACUAUUAUAGGAAAUAUUCAUAAUUAAAAGGCAUGCAUUUUAAGUGCUCUAAAAUUCAUAUAAUUCCCAAUUUAGCAUAGAAAUCUAACUAAAACAAAUAAUUACAACAAGUAGAAAGAGCAAUCGGGGCCAUUCGCCCCAGUUUCCACUGAGCUCAAACCCACCGAUGACAACGAAACUCCUCGUGCGCUCCCACGAGGGUGUCCUCUAGUCUCCUAGUAUCCUAGAGGUAUGAAAACAUGAGUCAUACGAGCCGAACGAACAACACCUAGCUCAAACAUUAAGCUAAUCAAGCAUAGGUGUGAAAAACUCACCUCUAGUACAAAAAUCUCCUCUAAAGCUCUAAAAUGAAGCUAGGGCUCAUCCAAUCCAACCUAAUGGAAGCCUCUAAUCCACUCAAUCUAGCUCCAAAAGCCCUAGAUUCAAAAUACCCAAAACAAACCCUAAUAUCACAAUCUAGGGUUUAAUCUCAUGAAAUUCAAUAAAAUUCAAAUCUAGAGGGAGAUAAUAUAAUGCUUACCUCUUAGAAGCUUCAAAUCAAGCUCUAAAUCCUUUAAAUCCCAAGAUCUAUCCUCCACUUAGCUCCAAAUUCAAGCUUGAGGCUUCAUCCAUGGUGGAAAUGGCACCAAAGGGCAAAAGAGAAGAAAAUCCAUCAAAAACCAAGCAAAAUGGAGAUCAAAAUCAAAUGGGACAAGGUGGGGCUUCACUCACCUUCCUCUCCUCUGGUUCCAGCACAAAAAAAGCCCUAAGGGGCGUGGGUGCUGUUAUAAGAAGCCCACAAUCGCGAAAAACCCCCUGCAGACCAAACUGCACGAAAUCUGCCUCCUUGUACCGGUACACGGGCUCUUGUACCGGUACAAGGCCGACGAAAUUGCAAACCCGAGGCUCGGGUCGCGCGGUCUGCGGCUCUGUACCGGUACAAGCCCGAUGGCUGUACCGGUACAACCAUCAAUCCUUGUAUCGGUACAAGGCCAGUCUUGUUCCGGUACAAGCUCUGCUGCAGGCUACCCGAGAGCUGUCCAAUGAAUCCAGUUUUUGGAUUUUGGUACCAAACUUCAAACCAACAUCCUCGGGGUGCGUGCCAGGGGUCGGAACACUAUCAACGACCAUCCAAAAACUGUAGAAAGGCUCCACACACAGAUCAAACACUCGAAUGUUGCAAUUUGCUAAGAUCCAGUGUAUUACAAAUAUCUAUCGGUCCCUUGGUGCCUCUUGAUGAAAUUGUGUAUCACACAACAAGCAAGGGCAAUGCAACACUGUACUUUGUAAGGAAAGGGUGUUGCUUGUCGUUACAAGCACCUUGCAGCUAUUGAACCAUCUCUUUAGGAUCCCAAAGGCUUUCUCAACUACAUUUCUCAAUUGAACGUGAUGAUAAUUAUAUAAAUCUCAAAGUCCUCGAUGCGUUCGUGCCUGUGCGUUUACAUCGAAUUGGCUCAAGUGGUAUCGCUCACCUUGAUAGGGAGCGAGGAAGCAGCCAGUGUUCGCAUAGUCUGAAUCAACUAAAUAAAAUUUUCCUAAACAAAUAUAAAGCUUUAUUAGAAUUACAAUAAUGAAACUUGUAUCACACAUUAAAAAGCAAAAGUUUAGUUACCUUCCGGUAUCGUGAAACCGCCGCUCUUGCAACACCAUCACAACACCCUCAUAUCAGCUGCAGAACCCUCCCACCCGGUGCAUACAAAUAAAAAUUCAUGGUCGAAAGAACAUCAUCAUGUUGUGAGAUGUAAAACCUUUUCGGCAACGAUAUCUUGGUUGCUUAGCCUUUCGUACAACCACCGGAAUGUGUGUUCCAUCUACUGCACCAAUUGCAUUUUGAAAAAAAAAUUUUACAUAAAUACAAUAGUUAGCAUCAAAUAUGUCAUUACCAAAUAAACACAAAUUAAUUCAAAUAAUUAAAGUACCCAAAUCUGAGGGUUAGUUACCUUGAAUGGAUGAAAAAUCGGAUUAUUUUUUAUUCUUGGGUGUACACCAACAUUAGAUGCCGGUGGUUGGAUAUACUUAUGUCUAAGUUCCACCACACCUCGCAGUACAUUAUUAAAAUGCCUCCUAAUCGUUUCUCCUGAAUGUUGAAAAGUUUCAGCUAAAACUCUGUUGGCUACGCCAUGACCUAUACCAAAUAAAAAUAUACCAAGUUGCUCAUCAACAGUUAAAUGCCUAGUGCUUUGUAUACACCCUCUCUCAACUAAUUCAUCUUAAAGUCUUAUAAACAUAGUGGUAGUCAUCCUAAAAUGUUGGUAUUCUCUAUCAGGAUGUCCACUCAAUUUGUCAUGAAUUAACUGAUGGCCAGUGAACGGCCGUGUUCGACAAGGCUGCUUAUAAAUUGUGCUGCGGAAUGAGAAGUCCCCUUCUUCGAUAAGUAAUGCAUGGACUUCUUCCCAAUAGUCCUCUUCCUCUUCUAAGAAUGUCAUGAGAUCGGCAACAAGUGGUGAAGAAAAAGCUUGACGAAAGAUCGCCAUGACUGCAAAUGAACAAAAUAAAACAUUCAUAACACAAUUAUAAUUAUAGAUUAAUCUAUAAUGGCUUAGUUAGUAAGGUCGAAAGAUAUGCAAGGUGGCUGCAUGGUCUUUAGCCAUGCCCCCCAACCCUGCACAUCUAUUUGGUUAGGUAUCAUCAUCACCGAAAGAAGAAAGUAGGAUGCAAGAAAAGAAAAAAGGGCAAAGAAGUUGUGAAGUUGAAGCAAGAAUCAAGUGCACAAGUUUAUAAGUGACAGUAUUGCAAAUAGUCAAGUAAGCAAAUUACUGCCUUACAGCUGAAAUUCCAUAUAUGAAUCAAAGCUGAAACAAAGUAUAAAUGGUGAUACUUUGUGUUGGCUCAGGUUUUAAGAUCCACAAGCAUGAAUGGUGGAUGCAAUACCUUACGAAUCGCAGCCCAAUCCAUUCAAGCCUGCUAAUCUUUUAUCAUCAUUGCCGAAUUCGUUGCCGAUAUGACCACAUGUAGAUUCAGAUCUGGGAGAAGAAAGAACUCACCUCGGGUAGCAUUGAACUAACCACAUUACUGCAGGUUGGAAGAAGAGAUGCAGCAGUGAACAGUUGGAGAUGUGAAAUGGCAUCCAGCAGAAUGUGAGUAAAGGCAACAAUGUUGCAAUUACAAGUAUAGAUGGUCAUAUAUUGUUGGCUCAGGUAUUAAGGCCACAAGCAUGAAUGGUGGAUGCAACACCUUACGAAUCGCCGCCCAAUCCAUUCAAGCCUGCUAGUCUUUUGUCAUCAUUGUCGAAUUCAUUGUCGAUAUGACCCGCAUGUAUAUUUAGAUCUGGGAGAAUAAAGAACUCACCUCGGGCAACAUUGAACUAACCACAUUACUGCAGGUUGGAAGAAGAGAUGCAGCAGAGUUAAGUUGGAGAGGUGAAAUAUCAUCCAGCCGAGGUGAAAUAUCAUCCACAAUGUUACAAUUACAACUAUAAAUUGUGAUAUAUUGUGUUGGCUCGGGUAUUAAGGCCCAUAAGCAUCAAUGGUAGCUGCAAUACCUUAGUAUUGCCCCCCAAACCAUUCACACCUGCUACUCUGUUACACAUCAUUGCCGAACGGACCAACAUGUAAACUGAGAGCCAACAAGAGAGAAGAAGAAAAGUUAUACAAUGAAGUAAACAAGCAGUGAACAAUCAAUGCAAAGAAAGCUAUACAAAGCUGUAGAUGAACUACACUAAUUAGUUAUACAUGAACUUUACAAUCUGAACAAACAAGUUUUAUAAUAAAGUAAACAGGCAGUGAAGAAGCAAUGCAAAGAAAGCUAUACAAAGCUGUAAAUGAACUACACAAAUUAUUUAUACAUGAACUUUAUAAUCUGAACAAACAAGUUUUACAAUAAAGUAAACAGACAGUGAAGAAGCAAUGCAAAGAAAAUUAUACAAAGCUAUAGAUGAACUACACAAAUUAUUUAUAUAUGAACUAUACAAUCUGAACAAACAAGUUUUACAAUGAAGUAAACAGGCAGUGAAAAAGCAAUGCAAAGAAAGCUAUACAAAGCUGUAAAUGAACUACACUAAUUACUUAUACAUGAACUAUACAAUCUAAUCAAACAAGUUUUACAAUAAAGUAAACAAACAGUGAAGAAGCAAUGCAAAGAAAGCUAUACAAAGCUGUAGGUGAACUACACUAAUUAUUUAUACAUGAACUAUACAAUCUGAUCAAACAAGUUAUACAAUGUAGUAAACAGGCAGUGAAAAAGCAAUGCAAAGAAAGCUAUACAAAGCUGUUGGUGUCAAUCUAAUCAAGCAAAUAGUUGGUGUCAAACCAAACAAAAUGAAGGUGUAUAUGAGGUAAAGGUCCCACCAAAUUAACUCAACCUUCAACCAAACAAAGUGAAGUAUGAAAACUUACUAAAUUCAUAUGAUAUGAAAUCAGUAUAAUCAAACCAAAUAGUUGGUGUCAAACUAAUGAAACUAAACAAACUCACUAAAAUUUACCUAACCAUGAACUAAGCAAACUAACAGUUAAGGCAUACAACUUAAAUCAGUACAAAAUAAACCAUGAUCUAACUUAUCCUAAUCAUGAGUUAGAGCAAACAAACAACUGAAAUUGAAAUACAACAUAUAAAGUAAAGCAUAUAGCUAAUAUAAAAGGGAGAAAUCCACUAGUUUAGGCAUGUAGGCAUCUCGGCCCACUAUGCACACAAAAUAGCUAAUGAGGUUUUGCUAACAAAAAGCAUAAGUACUAAGCGUGAGGCUACCAAAAUGUCGGUACUUCAGCAAUAUUUCUAUGAGAUUAAUUUGGAGGGAAAGAUGUAAUAUAUCGAACUUCUAUAGUUAUGAAGUUUCGGUGGAUGUUAGGAACCAUUGGAAUCAUUCCGGCGAAGUUCGGGAGUAUUCGGAUGUUUUCGGUGCGCGUUGGGCGCGAAAACGGAACCCGAAAGGCUAUAUUGGACCAUAGACUAAAUCCGGCAAAAGCGUGGAUGAAAAGAUGGUUUAAACGCGCUCGAAAACAUGUUUUGGGGGUCUCGAUGCGAUUUGAAACGAAUCGGAGGCCUAACGAGCGAAAACGGAGAAAAAGCUAAAAUUGCUGAAAAUUUGUCUAAGUCCUAAAAAUGCUGAUUUUCUGGACCUACGGGGUCCGGUCCCUCUAGCCAAGGACCGGUCCCCAAGACCCGAAAAUGCCCAGUUUAGUGCAGUGGCAGUUUUGUAAUUAAGAAUAAGUUGAUUUAUAAAGAGGCUUUGACCCCUUCUUCUUCCUCUCACAGCCCACACACACACACACCAUUGGAGAGGUAGAGAGAGAAGCUCUCUCCUCUCUCUAGAAUACUCUCUCCUCUCUCUAGAUCCAUCUCCCAAAUUCGGAGGCUUGGAGGAGAAGGACCUUGUGAACGCGUGGGAGGCGACGGUUCGGGCCCUCGUGCGCCCGUUUGAGCGGGGUGCUUCCGUCUCGGCGUUCAAAUUUUGGUAAGCUUUGGGAUUUCUACUAAAUCCUUCAUGAAAGAUAUUCUAGUAGUCUCUAGAGUAUUAUUAGCAUGUUACUCUAUAUAUUUUUGGGGUAUUUGGGAUGUAUUAUGGCUAGGGCUUCAAAUUGGGGGUUUUUAGUAAAUGAGGGUUUUGAUCUCAUUUAACUCCACAUUUCUCUAAUUGAAGGUUAGAGGUGAGUCCCCAACAACUUUAAGUUGAGAAUCGACGAGUGUUCGGUGAUCGUUUGCGAGUACGAGCCGAACCGGAUCACGUGUGCCGCAAGAGCCCGAUUGCAAGUGACUACAAGCAAUCAGAGAGCAAUAUUAGGUGGGUUGUGCUUCACCGAAGUGAUUAGGUCACUUCCAAGCCAAAGUGAAGUAUGAAUGUUAUUGAUGCAUGUAUAGUUGGUAGGUUGUACUUGAUAAUAUGAAUGUGUAAAUCAUAUUAUGCUUGAUGUUGUUACCUACCAUGAGAUGCUAUAUGAAUGCAUGAUGUGGAGGCUAAUCAAGAAUGCAUGAGAUAGAUGUUAGUGAUGAACACAUGAGAUACAUGCUAAGUGGAUACAUGAGCUAGAUGCUAAAUGAAUGCCUAGAGUAUAUGCUAAGUGAAUAUAUGAGUUAAAUGCUAGAUAUAUGUAUAAGAUGGUAUCAAAGUAUAAAAAGAACAAUAAAAAAAAUAAUAGAAAUGAUUUAGCUUGACCUAGGAGACCCUAGAAUAGUAAACCAUGGAAGCUAAGGCUCGUGAGAGACGAGGACUUGUAACUUGUGGCGAAAGAUUGAUCGAUUGGGUCAAGUUAGUAAACCUCUAAAACGGAUGUUAGAGGGGGAUUCAAGGUUCAGUUUAUUCUCAGCUGAGGGUGUUCAUAUUGGAUGCAUACAACAUGAAACCGAGUAAUGAGAAUAGAUGCCCUUGCGUGACUUUCGCCUGAUUUGAGUUGAUGUUAAUUGUUUCGUGCUCGACCUAAAAGGUUGAAAAUUAAUUGAGUUGUCAUGUUUCAGGAAACGAUGGCACCGCGUAAGCGAUCUUCAGCUAGAUCAACGUGGGAUGGGACAGGUGAUGUCCCUAAGCAAUCUGAGGCGAGCGGAGACUUGGAACUUCACGAACAGUUGGCCAUACUUGUGGGUGUGGUGAGGGAACGAGCCGAUGUGGUGCAGCGACAGCAGGAGGCUACUAUGCGCCAGGAGAAACGGAUCAAGAGACUCCAGGAGACCGUGGAGCAGCUAGUGGCUGCGCCAGUUGCGGCUCGUCGAGGACGGCCGGGAGUUGCGGCGGAGAUCUCUCCGUCGGGGUCGGGUGAUCCGACUCCCGAAAGUGCAUUAGUGGAGGCGGAGAGGGAGCGAGCUUUGGUGGCCCUUAUGACUUUUAAGAAGUUCGAUCCGCCUACCUUUGAUGGAGAGAGUCUAGAUCCGUAGGUCAUGGAAAUGUGGAUCGACUCCAUGGAGACUCUCUUUGAGGAUCUGCAUGUCUUGGGAAAGGUAACCCUAGCUAUGCACUGUUUGAAGCAGUCGGCAAAGUGGUGAUGAAAAGACAAGAAUGUUGUAAUAUACCGAAACUUUAGUAGAGUACUCCGGACUUUAGCCAAAUUGACUAAAGUGUCCGAAAGAAAAAGAUGGACGAAGUCCAUUUGGCAUUCCAACAAUGUUGGAAGGGUCAAAGUUGAGUUCUAAAAGAGUUAAGCAAGAGUUAGCAUUGCUCGGCGCGAAGAAGUGCUGGAGCACUGCCAGGACAUAAGUCUGGGCACUACGUACCGGUACCAGGUCAGGUGGUACCAGUACCAGGCCAGCAACCCGAGAGGAGUAGCUCUCGGGUUUGGCUGUUGCGCGACAGUGUACCGGUACCCGAUGAGGGUGGUACCGGUACCAGACCAGCAACCCGAGAAUAGUAGCUCUCGGGUUUGGCUGCUGGAUAGGGGUGUACCGGUACCAAUUGAUGGUGGUACCGGUACCAGGUGGCCUUUGCAGCAGACUGAAGUCUGCUGCAAAUCUGAGUUGAUAGGGGGCCUUUUUGUAAUUGUUACAACAUAUAAACACCCCAACACCUCUCCCCUCUCUCUCCUACAGUUAUUGCACCUCUCUUCUUUCAUUUCUCUCUUUCUUUCCCUAGAGAUCACUCCAAGGAGCUAAGAGGGAGGAUAGGAGAAGGGAUUUUAAGGAGAUUUCUUGAGUUUUGGAGGCAUGGGAACUCUCCUACAAGGUGGACUUUGGAGAGCUUAGGGCAAAGGUAAGGAUUUCAUGUAAGAUCUAGGUUAGGGCUUGGAUUUUAUGCCCUAAAUCUUUGGAUUUGAGUUUCUUACAUGUGUGGAAUCCUUCUAGAAGCCAUGAAACACAUGGAAAUCAAGUUUCCUUCAUGUGCUCUCAUGGUGAAUUUCUAGGGUUUGGUUUAUAUGCCCUAGAAAUGGUUGAAAAGGCUUAGAAAAGGUUCUAAAUAAGUUUCUAGAGGUUUAGUAAACUUGCUUUUGUUUGUUCUAGAGAUCAAAUCUAAGGAUUGAGCAAAUGUCAUAUUAGAUGGGCAUCCCAAAGAGAGGUUUUGCUCAAGUGGGGUUUUGAUCUAAUUUGAUCAUGUAUAAACCUUAUUAGGGGUCUAACGAAUGCGUUGGUGCGCUCGUUCGACAAUCGACGAGUGUAAGCAAAGAUAUUGACAAAACAUUAUUUUCGUACAGAUUGCCGCAGCACGCGGAAUAGGCGUCUAAAAAUCCCAAGAAUGAGCGUGUAGCAUCCUUAUAACUAUCUAAGGUGGGUGGUGCUUUCCGAAAUCGAUGGAUUUCUCUUAUGUCUAAAGUGUCAUUUGAGCAUAUGUGUUUAUAUAUUGUUCAUGCAUAGUAGGUGAUGUGAGUAUAUUUGAUUGCAUCUUUGAGUAUAAGAUGCAUAUAAAAUGUUGUAAAUUCUUGAGAACGUAUGGAACCCUAUGUAUGCAUGUGUAGUGACAAAGACUAAAAAGGUAAAAGGGUAAGAUACAUUAAUGACAUAUGGAUUGGGUGGCAUUAGUAAAUGUCAAGUAUGCAUGAGAACACUUAGUGUUAUGUGUUGGCAUUAGUAAACAAAUGAAUGCUAGGAUUGGACUCUUAGUCGAGUGGCAUCAUGAAAAGUAAAGAAUGCAAGUAAAGGAUAUAGUUGAAUAUUAGACAUAGCAACUUAGAGUUAAGGGUCAUAUGAGCAUUGCAUCCUCAUUGUGAGGAUUGGUAUUGAACUUGGAAUCCUUAAAGUUAAGGAUUGAUUGUACUAACCCAUUAGUUUUGGUCGAGGGCGUAUGUCACGGCACAAAGAUUUUCUCCGCGAUUUCGCUUUGCAAUCACCUGAACUCCAAAGCGGACAUCUGACGGAGGUUUUGGCUUGGAACCUUCUGGAAGCUUCUACGUGGAUCUCGAGGCUGAUUGGCGCGGAUGCCGAGGAGUCAAGAGUCCCUUGGGGUUUCUAGGUAGCCAUUAAUGUACUUAGAGUUUCUAUGCAUAUUUAUUAUGACUCUUGGGAGACCGUAGCGUACUUAUUGGCCUCCCCUUUUGGCUUGUAGUUUCAUGCCACUUGGCAUCUUAUCAUUUGCUUUAUGGGCGGCGAGUGGCCUAUAUAUAGUGUGGCCUCCACCCCUCUCAUUUCAGAAUCUACUAUUGUAUUCUCCAAGUUGAAGUAAUAGAAGAGCUUUCUUCUUAUCUCUCUCUUGUACUUAGUCUAGGGCGAGUGAGGUCCUAACUUAGCAAGUAGAGAGGCAGGCUUGCUCACUUCGCGAAGGAAGGCGAGCGCCGCACGGGCUUUUGCGAGCAAAUUCGUUAAGUCCGUGACAGUUGGUAUCAGAGCCGGUUCGAGUAGGAGCCAUGUCGUCAUCAGAGGCCGCUGCUGGCGACGUUGGGGGUGAUGGCCCCAAGCAACCCUCCAAGCGGGGCAAGGGCAAGGACACGCGAAUCACGAAGGAUUCCGCGUCGGUCGAGGACCGCCUUGCGCUGUUGGAGGACAUUCUAUCGAAGGUGGGAGAAAGGUACACCGAGAUGGCCGAUACCUUUAACGCCUUCAAUGAAGAUGUUCGCAGUAUGGAGGAGAGUGUCGCCACUGCCAUGGCGACCUUUCGAGGCGAGCUUGAGAAGCUCCAAGACAACAUCACCCGUCGUGACGACGAACGGAAGAACUUGAUCGAGGAGCUAGUCACUCGAGUCGACGAGGUCGAGGACCUCAAGACGAGAGUGACUAUCCUUGAGAAGGCGGUGGCUCGAGGCGGUGAGACGCAGAAGGAGUACACCCCAAAGGUCCGCGUCCCUGAACCCCAAUGCUUCAAGGGAACGCGCGACGAGAAGGAGAUAGACAACUUCCUUUGGCACAUGGAGCGCUAUCUCAAGGCGCUGCGGAUCGAGGACGAGGAGGACAAGGUCCAGACCGCUUCCAUGUACCUCACCGACGACGCGAUGCUGUGGUGGCGUCGGCGUUCUGCAGAAGCCGAGAAGGGCCAAUGCAAACUGGAUACUUGGGAGGACUUCGUGCGCGAACUCAAGGCACAGUUCUACCCCGAGCACGUCGAAUACUUGGCGCGGAGGCAACUUCGACGGCUCAAGCACACAGGAUCCCUCAAGGAGUAUGUCAAGGAGUACUCCAAACUGAUGCUUGCCAUCACCAGCAUGGCCGAGGAGGAUCGGCUGUUCUUCUUCCUCGACGGUCUCCAACCGUGGGCUAACAAGGAGCUCGUGGCGAGAGACGUCAAGGACGUGAGCUCCGCUAUCGCUCAAGCGGAGAAGCUGCUGGAGUAUGACAAGCCAGACUUCGCUCGUGGCAAACCACCUAAGGCGGGCAAGGCCAAGGGUGGGGGAGACCGCCGCGAGCAGCGUGAUCACAAGGGCCAAGAGCGAAGAGGCCCUCCGCAGAAGAAGAAGAUCUCUUGCUAUGUCUGCGGGGGUGAUCACUGGGCGAGAGAUUGCCCAAAGAAGAAGACCGUCAACGCCAUCCAAGCUGAGGAGAGCGAGGAACAAGCGGAGACGAAGAUGGGCGCGCUACGACUCGUCAGCGCGAUCCAGGGGCAGGCGAGCAGCAAACCGCUCAAGAAGGAGCUGCUGUUCGUGGACGUGACCCUCAACGGGAGGGCCACUCGAGCGCUCGUGGACACUGGGGCGACCCACAACUUCAUCGCCGAGUCUGAGGCCAAACGGCUGGGCCUCACACUCGAGAAGGACACGAGCAAGAUCAAGGCUGUCAACUCGGUGGCACAGCCUGUCGUGGGAGUAGCCAAAGGGGUGACGAUCGCUGUAGGACCCUGGUCGGGUACAGCGAACUUCACCGCCGCGACCAUCGACGACUUCAAAGUCAUUCUCGGCAUCGACUUUCUAGCUUCAUCGAAAGCGGUCCCGAUGCCGCAUCUCGGGGCCUUGAGCAUCAUGGAGGAGGCAGCCCCGUGCAUGGUCUUGGCUAGCCGCAGCGAGCCAGCGGCAACCCACACCCUCUCCGCUCUGCAACUGCGGAAGGGGGUAAAGCGCGGAGAGAUCACUUAUCUUGCGGCCAUCCGCGAGGUGAGCGACGAGGACCUCGAGGAGGAGGACCAUCCAGCGGUGAUCGAUGCAGUCCUGGGGGAGUUCAAGGACGUCAUGCCCCAGGAGUUGCCCAAGAGACUUCCACCAAGGCGGGAGGUGGACCAUGCGAUCGAGCUCGAGCCAGGAGCAAAGCCACCAGCAAAGGCACCAUACCGCAUGGCCCCGCCAGAGCUCGAGGAGUUGCAGCGUCAACUGAAGGACCUCCUCGAUGCGGGCUUCAUCAGGCCGUCGAAGGCACCCUACGGAGCACCAGUCUUGUUCCAAAGGAAGAGCGACGGAAGCCUGCGGCUCUGUAUUGACUACAGAGCGCUCAACAAGGUGACGGUAAAGAACAAGUACCCUAUUCCUCUUGUUGCUGACUUGUUUGACCAGCUUGGCGGAGCGAAGUUCUUCACCAAAUUGGACCUUCGCUCGGGGUACUACCAAGUCAGGAUCGCGGAGGGCGAUGAGGAGAAAACGGCAUGUGUGACGAGGUAUGGAGCCUACGAGUUCCUCGUCAUGCCAUUCGGCCUGACGAAUGCGCCGGCGACCUUCUGCACCCUGAUGAACAAGCUAUUCCACCCCUACCUCGAUCGCUUCGUGGUAGUGUACCUCGACGACAUCGUCGUGUACAGCAACACUCUGGAGGAGCACGUCGAGCAUCUGCGGACGAUCUUCCAAGUGCUGCGGGAGAACCAACUCUAUGUCAAAAGGGAGAAGUGCUCCUUUGCGAAGGAGGAGGUGCACUUCCUUGGCCACUGGAUCGGCCGAGGACAACUCCACAUGGACCAGCAGAAAGUGCGGGCGAUCUGCGAGUGGGAAGCGCCCACGACGGUGUCCGAGCUGCGAUCCUUUCUCGGACUCGUCAACUACUAUCGCCGCUUCAUCGCGGGCUACUCUGCUCGAGCGGCCCCUUUGACGGAUCUGCUGAAGAAGACCCAGUCAUGGGACUGGACCCCUCGAUGCGCGGAGGCAUUCGAGGACUUAAAACGGGCGGUGACGGAGGAUCCGGUGUUGCGGCUUCCCGACUGCAGCCGUCCAUUCGAGGUACAUACUGACGCCUCGGACUUUGCCAUUGGUGGUGUUCUCGUGCAGGACGGACACCCCAUCGCCUAUGAGAGCCGCAAGCUCAACGACACCGAGCGGCGGUACACGGUGCAGGAGAAGGAGAUGACCGCUGUGGUGCACUGCCUCAGGACCUGGCGGCACUAUCUCCUUGGAAGCAAGUUCGUGGUGCGGACGGACAAUGUCGCGACGAGCUACUUCCUUACUCAGAAGAAGCUGUCACCCAAGCAGGCGAGGUGGCAGGACUUCCUGGCGGAGUUCGACAUGGAGCUCUCGUACAAACCCGGGAAGGAGAACCAAGUGGCUGACGCACUCAGCCGCAAGGCGGAACUGGCAGCGGUGUGCCAGAUCCAAGGCGCGAUCAGGGAGCGAAUCCGCGAAGGGACUUGCGAAGACCCUGUGGCCCAAGGACUCGUGCGACUCGUCAAGGAGGGCAAGGCGCAGCGGUUCUGGCUUAGCGAUGGGCUGCUCCUGACCAAGGGGCGUCGCGUCUAUGUGCCCAGGUGGGGCAAUCUUCGUCGCGAGCUCAUGAAGGAGUGUCAUGACUCCAAUUGGGCCGGACAUCCAGGACAGAAGCGGACGAUGGCGCUGCUCGAGGCCGCCUACUAUUGGCCUCGCAUGCACGACGACGUGGAGGCGUACGUGCGGACUUGCCUUGUGUGCCAGCAAGACAAGGUGGAGCGCCAGAAGCCUGGGGGCCUCCUCGAGCCCCUGCCUACACCGACGCGUCCGUGGGAGAGCAUUUCCAUGGACUUCAUCUCCGCCUUGCCCAAGGUGGGGACGUUGGGGUCCAUCCUCGUGGUGGUGGACCGAUUCUCCAAGUACGGGACUUUCAUCGCGGCACCAGCGGAUUGCACGGCGGAAGAAGCGGCGCGGCUCUUCGUCAGCAAUGUGGUGAAGCUUUGGGGCAUCCCCGAAAGCAUUGUGAGUGACCGAGACCCUAGGUUUACGGGCAAGUUCUGGACAGAGGUGUUCCGGAUCUUGGGGUCGGAGUUGCUCUUUUCCACCAGUUUUCACCCACAGACGGACGGCCAGACGGAGCGGGUGAAUGCCUUACUGGAGGAGUACCUGCGGCACUAUGUCAGUGCCAACCAGAAGGAUUGGGUGCAUCAUCUGGAUGUGGCCCAGUUCUCCUACAACUUGCGGCGGAGCGAGUCAACCAACCUCAGCCCGUUCGAGCUGGCAACGGGGAGGCAACCACUCACUCCGCAUUCUGCUGCUGCGGGCGAGCAGGGCCGCAGCCCAAUGGCUCUCCAAUUCACUUCUCAUUUGCAGGAGAAGGGGGACAUUGCGAGAGCCUAUCUCGAGAAGGCGGCCCGCCGAAUGAAAAAGUGGGCCGAUGCAAAGCGGCGACCCUUGGAGUUUGCCGAGGGAGAUCGAGUGUUGAUCAAGCUGCAACCUCAACAGUUCAAGGCUUUUCGCAAAGUGCACCGUGGGCUUUUGCGAAAGUACGAGGGGCCUUUCACUGUCAUCAAGCGAGCGGGCAAGGCAGCCUACAAACUGCAACUCCCCGCCAACCUGAAGAUUCAUCCUGUCUUUCAUGCUAGUUGCCUGCGGCCCUACCAUGAAGACGCUGAGGACCCGAGCCGGGGCGUGUCGCAGCGCGCUCCCGCCACUAUGACCACUGCAAUCGACAAGGAGGUCGAAGCCUUGCUGGACACUCGCACCAUUCGGCGUCGCGGAGUCCCGAGGAGCGUCGAGUACCUUGUCAAGUGGAAGAAUCUCCCGCAUGGCGAGGCAAGCUGGGAGAAGGCUGACACUCUCUGGAAGUAUCAGAAGCUGAUCGAUGACUUCCAACACCAGCGCGCGACGAGGGCGUCUGCGCAAUAGGUGGGGGAGGUUGUCACGACACAAAGAUUUUCUCCGCGAUUUCGCUUUGCAAUCACCCGAACUCCAAAGCGGACAUCUGACGGAGGUUUUGGCUUGGAACCUUCUGGAAGCUUCUACGUGGAUCUCGAGGCUGAUUGGCGCGGAUGCCGAGGAGUCAAGAGUCCCUUGGGGUUUCUAGGUAGCCAUUAAUGUACUUAGAGUUUCUAUGCAUAUUUAUUAUGACUCUUGGGAGACCGUAGCGUACUUAUUGGCCUCCCCUUUUGGCUUGUAGUUUCAUGCCACUUGGCAUCUUAUCAUUUGCUUUAUGGGCGGCGAGUGGCCUAUAUAUAGUGUGGCCUCCACCCCUCUCAUUUCAGAAUCUACUAUUGUAUUCUCCAAGUUGAAGUAAUAGAAGAGCUUUCUUCUUAUCUCUCUCUUGUACUUAGUCUAGGGCGAGUGAGGUCCUAACUUAGCAAGUAGAGAGGCAGGCUUGCUCACUUCGCGAAGGAAGGCGAGCGCCGCACGGGCUUUUGCGAGCAAAUUCGUUAAGUCCGUGACAGGUAGCUCCCUCUCGGGCGAUGAGCUCUGGAGUAGUCAUCACUGGGUUGUAGCGAGUAUCUUUCCAGAGGACGGUCCCGUCGGGUCGUAGCGAGUAUCUCCCCGAUAGUAGAGAUUUGGGUUGGUGAGUUUGUUGAGGGCGAAACCUACGGGUUAGCCAAGAGAUUGGGCAAUGGAAUUAUGAUUUUGCAUUCAUCAUGAGCAUUCUUUUGAGCAUAGCAUUGUAUAUAUUGUUCAGGCAUAUUAGCUGCAUUUGUUAGUUGGUUGCUAUCUAUCUAUUCUUCUAUUAUGCUUGAUUUAGACCUAGUGGGAAAGUCGGCGAGGUCGGCGGCCGAACCCACUGGAAACUUUGUUGUAGUUCUCACCCUACUAUUUCCACAGAGCCGGGACAGAGCGAGCCGGCGGAUGAUCGCGGUAAGGGUAUCGCGCUAUAGCUAGAGACCACCCGAGUUGGUUUCACAUUUUGGUUUAGUUGCACUACCCCUUUUAUAUCAUUUUUUGUAUUUUGAUGAUUAUAGAUAUUUAAAUAAAAGAACAUGAAUGAUGUAAAAGAAUUUAUAUGUGAUGUAUAAAAGAGAUGAUGCAAAGAAUGUAAAGAAAUUUUAUUAGAGUUGAAUGCAUGUAUGUGAUUUAAACUUAAUCAUAUUACUUGUAUGUUGAUCAAAUAGUACUUUCACUUUGGCUAUUGCUUGCCCUCGUACAAGCCAUUAUGAAUGCUUCCGCAUGUGCAAAUUUUAUACUCUAUUUGUACUUGUUGUUGAGCCUUGGGCGGACAGGGGGGGCUUUGUCCGUUCAGUGUCUGUUCAGCGGGUCCGAUCGGGUCAAAUAGGACCGGGUUCGGGGCGUGACAAAUGUAAUAACUUGUAAGAACUUGAUUGUAUUUGGAAGUAAGAAUCAAAGAAUUAAAAAUGUAAUAUGUGAUGUAAAUGUUAAACUGGGAUGAAUGCUUAUAAUAGCAUAGAUGUAUUUAUGUUUUUGAUACUUUCCUUACGCAAUCUUUGUUGUAUGUUGUUCCUGGUUGGAAGCUCGCGCAUUGUAUGGAUUGUGACGCCUUGGACGUACAGGGGAGACUCUGUCCGCGGUACAGGAGAAACCCUGUCCGUUCUGCGGUCUGUCGGUGUGCCCGAACCGACCAAAUAGGCGAGUUCGGGGCGUGACAAAAGAACUCCCUGCCGGAGGAAAGGAAGGUAUAUGAGCAAGAUCGGGAGAAGCUGAUAGAGGAAACAUGGUUGUACGACUUGAAAAAGAUGGUCUAGGAGGGAAACUUGCACUUGCUGCUGGGAAGGAUGAUGGUCCAGGAGCAAAAUAUGAUGCUGCUGUUGGAAGAAGGGUGCAGUUGGUAGGAAAGAUGGCGCAACAGAUCGUAGACCAGUGAAAAGCUGAUGCAUGGCAAUUUGACGAUCUAUCCACAUAUAUAACAGAUCGCCAUUCAAUGCCAUGAAAAUUGGCCUAUUGCGCCUAUCUUUUAGAGCUUCACAAACAACAAGUACACCAUCAGGAGACAAUUGAGCGACAUUGCUCAGCCUUUCCAUACACUCCUCUAUAGAGUGAAUUUUGGGUCUUGCUUGUAACUCACGUUGUUUUAUAGUUAGUGCAAUUUUCGUUCUUUUCUUUCCCAAUUCAACAAGCUCAUAAAUUGCUUCCGUUCGACCAUCAUCCUUACGUCUACGGGUUGAAGAUAGUGUAAGGAUUGGUGGGUGAGACCUAUAGCCUCUUCAUUGAUGAAGUGUGGCCAGAAGCACUACCAGUAUAUUGGCUACUGACUUUAUUUAAAGUUGGUAUUGGAGACGUUAAAUUUGCAUCAUUAGCAUCAUCUAAAUUCUAUGCUAGAUUCUCCAUGUUGAGCGCAACCGGAGAUGAUAAAGAGGUGCUAUGAACAUCCUCAUCCAUGUUGGAAGUAAACUCAUGCUUCCCGGUUGUAAUUGCCUUUCCCGACAAAAACUCAAUAGAUUGAUACAUGCAGGAAAAGCCUUGUCCCUACACUUAGCAUAUGCUGAAUUUUUCUACAAAUGUGAAAAUCAUUGAUGAUAAGUUAAUAAACUCUAUGUAAAAAAAAAAAAAAAACAACUUAUAUAAAAAUAUGAGCAAAAAAAAAAACUUACCGCUAUGAUAGUAUCCCAAUCAGCAGGGUCACCAGUAGUGGGAAUGUUUUGGGUGUAGUCCCACCCCCAUCCACUUUUGUUCGCUAGAGUUUGAUACAUCAAAUAUUGGCACUUCAAGACUUUCAACCGAUUUUGCAAAUUGAUUUUGUUAAAGCUCAAUUUUGUCCUCUCAUUGAAAUCGUGAACCAUUCGAGUCCAUGCUAAUGGGGUAAAGCUCCCAUUAACAAAAUUACCAAGAGCAUGCUCCUUAGUUAUUAAGUUCAACAUUACUGAGUCCAUUUUUUAUGUCCAGUUCGAGGAUCUUACUGGAGUUUUCGAUGGUUCCUGAGGUGCCCCAUUUAAACUUUGACCAUCAGCAGAGGGAGCAUCAAAGCCUUUGUUUUUCAACGGCUUUUUAAGAGGGCCCAUCUGGGAUGAACAAGUAUAGAAAUCAUAUUUGUAUUACAACAAAUAUAUAAUAUUGGUUUAGCACAAUAUUUGAGUGAUAUGUUAUUUUGUCAAAAUGCUCAGGGGAGAAGGUUACAUAUGAUUUCAUGACGGAUGCAAUAGUUUUUAAAAAACCAUGCCGCCCAUGCCAUGAAUAUAUAUAUCGUCUUUCCCUACAUCAUUACUAUUAUAUUUUUAAAAUCGUGCCUCAAACUGAGGUGCAUUAGAUCAAGAUAUAGCUAGCCGCUUUCAAUUCAUUAUAUGAUCUCUUUGCAAUCUUACAUUGAGUUAUGUUCAGGUGAAAGUAAUUUUAGCUUCAAAGUUUCUUCAAAUCGAAAGAUCAAAAUUGUAUAAAAAAAUAUAAAAACUGUAUGAUGCAGUCAUAAAGUAUGAUCAGCAAUACAUGGGUGCUGUCAUAAAUUAUGGCAAUAGAAAAAUAAAUAAUCAAUCAUAAAUAAGGAUGCAAAGUUUUUGUAUAUCAAAUUAAUCUUUAAAGUGAUAAUCAUACAAAAUUCAAAAACUGUGGGUUUGUAAAAUACCUUCAAAUUGUUUAAAAAAAUGAGAUUUAACAGCAUGCGAGCAAAAGUGAAAGACAGAUCAACAAUAGGCCAGAAAAUUGGGGUAAAAUCUAUAAAACCUCACCUCGACGAGAUUAAUAGAACGUAGAAAUAAUCAAGAGUGAACUUCUACACCAGCACAGAUAUAGUAUAGUAGCAAAGAUUAGGUUCCAAGCAAGAUGCAAAAAAAAAACCAGUACCUUUGAAUCCCACUCAAAUUUAUAGACGAAAGGGGGCACGAAUAGUCCAUGCCUUCUACCUGCAAGGCUAGUGGUCGCACUAAAUGGGCGACUUGACAAACAGGGCAUACAUCUAGCAGAACGCACCUCGAUUUCUUGCCUCAGAAGCCCACAAAAGAGUUUGAGCGAAGCAAAAACCCAUUUAUGCCAGUCAAAUUCGAGGGUUUGAGAGAGGGGUUAGCAAUGAAAAUGGAUCUCGACUGGGAUCUUCCUCAGAGACUGCGAGAGGAGUAUGGAAGAAGAAAGUAAUAGGAAAGAGGAGUUACCGAUGAACGCAGAUCUGAUACGAGACCUUGCUCACUGAUUAUGCCCACUGCGAAAUGAUAAGAGAGGCAUAGAGCGACGGAUUUUGCUCGCCCAACACGAGGGGGAAGAAGAUCGGCAGAGUAAUGAGCGAAGGGAGAAGUAGGUGAAGAGCAUUAACAAAGAAGAAAGCAAAGGGGCCUCGCCUUUUUUCCAACCCUUGCCCCUGGGAUAAACCAGCGGAAAUGCCUUAUUCCGCUGGUCCCAUGGGAUAGCUCUUAACGGGUUAUCCUUGGAUAACCCAUUAAGAGCGGGAUAAAUUAUCCCACCAAAAAAAGGCUCUAUUUGGAUGGUUUGGCAGGAUAAAAUAGUCUAAACCCACUUUAUCCUGCCAACCAAACAGGGCCCUAGAGUAUAGAGUUUAAGAAACCAACAAAUUUCAACUAUAAGGUUAACAUGGCAACAAAAUAAAAGAAACUUAACAAAAAGAAAAGUAAACUAAAGAAAUUUAGCAACAACCUUAUGGUUUAACUCUAAAUUUCCUCUUCCCAAACCUUUCUUAUCUAAUAAGCCCUAUAUUCAUCCUUCAAUGGAAGUCAAGCCUCACGAUUUUUUUUCUUUCUUUGGAACACUCUUAAAGCUUUAAACAUCUCGUCUACGGUCUAUGAAUCAAGUAACGCAUAAAACAUCUCCAUACAUUUAUCAACUGAAUAUUUAUCAUCAUGAUAACCUUUUGUUUGAGGUUCUGCUACGGUGAUAAUGGCUUUAACAAUUUUUAUCAUCACCCAUUUCCUUUAUAAUUAGAUAAUCUCCUAUUUUAUCAACAUUUUCACUUUUUUGUUUUCUUUUUCUACAACUUGACGUAGUCUUGGCUUCUCCUUGAGUUUGUGUUUGUGAUUGUGAGGGUGGAGGCACCUGAACUAGGUGGGGUAUAUCACUUGGCGAAGGUAUUUGAGCUGACAAAUUGACCUUUUGAGUCUCUUCAACAUGUUUAUCAAAAUCCUCUCCGACACCUGGAAUUGUGGCUAAUGGAGACUCCGGUUGUGAUGACAGAUCAAUCUAGGGUGAUGACAGAUCAAUCUAGGAGGCCGACGAUGAACCUCUAGAGAGAUUAUUAUGAUACUCACAUCCACGAGCAUGUUUACUUUCUACGUAUGUGCCUUCAAUAUAUAAAGAUGAAGUACAUAUGAAUACUAAUUCUAUAAAAGAAAAAAAUAAACAAAAAUAUAUCUAUACCAUACCUUCAUAAAUAUCAUAGAGUGCUUCAUAUCAUGGAAAGGGCUUGUUGUGCCAUUUCCGAAGUUCUUUGUUAGUCUUCAAAAAAUAAAAAAAAAAUUUGCUAGAAUUGAAAAUAUAUAUAUAUAUAUAUAUAUAUAUAUAUAUAUAUAUAUAUAUAUAUAUAUAUAUAUAUAUAUAUAUAUAUAAAAUCAAUGUUUACUAUGUGAUACUCACAUUAAUCAACGGCUCCCAAACCUCUGAUGGAGCAAAAACCAUUUAUUUGUCUCCGUCCCAACCAAAGCCACUCAACUCUACUAAGCUUUUCACAACUAUAAAUUACUUCUUCAAUUGUUGUGCUCUUUAUCUUUCACUUGUUCUACUGUACAAUUGGCAUUUUCAAAAUAAUCUCCAAUCUAAAGGCCUUAUGCAUAAGGAAUACAGAUACCAAACACUCCAUAUAAUCCACAAUUCUUAAGGACUUAAAUAUGAGGUAUAGUAUAACAUGACUCGUUUAAUGCAGGGUCUACUCGAAACACAAUUCAAGCUACGAUUACUCCUUUUCGCAUGCCAAUAUGUCGAAUUGACGAGUAUAUUAACAAUUUGAGAAAGAUAAGUAACUCAUUACAUGAGGAACGAAUUCAUAUAUUCAAGCUCAAGUUAAGCUAGAGUGCCGAGUUCACACAAUUUGGACAUGUAAUGCCAGAAUUAACAAUUUAGUAUACUUGAAUUAAAUGAUUUUUGUUACAUAAUAGCUGCAACUACCUACAAAUAUGCAAGUGUUUCAAUCAUUUGAACAAGAAUCCAUUUACAGGUUGUUCUAUGGAAAUGCAAGAAGAAGCAAUACCUAUAAAUAUUAAGUAAAUUAAAAAUUUGCAUGUUAAGCAAAUAGUUUGAUAUUUUUUAAUUAAUUCAAGCUUGUUUGGCCAAGCUUCAUGUUACAGAUAUUAGCUUUCUAGGAUGGAAGCUACUGGAAACCAAAAAAAAAAAAAAAAUGAAGAUUCCUUUAAAAUGAAACCUAUUGAAAAAAAAAAAAAAAUCUAAUCAUUCUUUUUUUACCUGUUGGAGAAGGAAAAUAGGGUCGUGCUUCUCCAACCAUCGCAAGGCAAGGAGCGAGAGAAGAUCGAGGAAAAAAAAUGGCGGCCGAGGUUAGUGUCACGGCGACGGCCGAGGUUAGUGCCGUGGCGGCAGCCGAGGUGACCAUGAUUGCAGUGGCAGUAGCGGCGGCGCCCGAGAUGAGUGCGGCAGUGGUGGUGGCCGAGAUGAGUGCCGCGGUGGCGGCUGAGGUGAGAGCGGCGGCAGCGAUGGGAGGAAGCUCUAGUUGGGAGUUGUAGAGAGGGCAACGAGAGGGAGAGAGAUGAGAGGAAGUCAGGCGAGUUGGGUAGGCGGCCCAAAAAAUAGCAUAAGUUUUUUAGAGAAAAUAGUAGAUUUUACUUUUACCUUACUUUUAAGAAUAUAGUUUAACUAUAACCUAUUUUGUUAGUGUGUUUUUGAAUCAUCCAAACACCUCUUAGAAAAUUUUUCCUACACCCAUAACAUAGAUAUACUAAACUCCAAAAAAAUGAGCAUCCAAACAGACCCUAAAUAUGUCAUCACAUUCCUUAUCAACCGAACGUAUAAAUUUCUUGAAUAAAUCAAAAGGAUAUACCGAAUAAGAUAUUCAUAGAUUCAAAACAGAUUAGAGACUAGAUUUGAGAUUUGAGAUUUGAGAGUAGGCAAACAAUAAAUAUCAAAAACAUCAUAUUUGAGAUCUGUAAAACAUAACUGCAAAAAAGAAGCAUACAUUUCAAAGUUGCUCUUAAAUUGUGGAGACUGGCAAAGAUAGGGGUAUCAUGUAACUCCUACGAAUCAAUAUAGUAUCAUAUUAAAAGAACACAAAUUUCAACUAAGAAAAGGUUAAUACUAAAAUAAAUAAAUAGAUCUAACAAUUGCUUUUUCAAUGUUUUCGUCACAAUCAAAAUAAUAAUAAAAGCAUAACCAUAUAUGCGACAGUUCGUCAAUCACUUGGAGCAUCGUUUACCCUACUAUAUAUUUUUUUUGUAGGGCAAAAAAUGGAGAAGCAUUUACAUAUAUAUCUAAGCCAAAAAAAAAAGGAAAUAUUCCAACAAAAUCAUUUAUCUACAUAUAUUUUUUUGUAUGAGUAAGGGUACAAAUGUAAGAAAUUAAGCUUUGAAAAUGUCUAUAUGAUACAAAUGUACAUAUAUAAUUUUGCAAAAAUAGAUAUGAAAAUAUGGGCUGGGGCUACUAUACUCAUAUGAGUAUAGAGCCCUUUGUACUCAUAACUUUUCGACCGUUUGGAUGAAAAAUGUGUGGUUAGGAUGUACGGUUAGGUUGAUAGUGGGCCCCCUAGGGUUGAGUGGGUGGUUGGUUGAAUAGUAUAAUCUAACGGGUGAAAAUGAUUAAAAGGUAGAUCAAACGGCCAAAAAUUUAUGAGUACAAGAGGCUCUAUACUCAUAAGAGUAUAGUAGCUGGGCUCUGAAAAUAUGUCCACAAAAAAAAAAAAAAUAGAGAAUUAUCUCUAAUGAAUGACAAUAAGGGCAAUAUCGAUAUCAUCAUCAGUGCAGAAGUUAUCUUGUCAUAUGCAGGAUACCUUUGUUUCAAUGCGAGACCUCAGAUAGUCCUAUAUAUAAGAUAUAAUAGAGCUAAAAAUUUUUAACCCGGCUUAAGCAUUUUAGAUGAUGGCUAGGCCCAAGAGGUUAAAAGAGUUAAGCGUGCUGGGACGAGAGUAGUUCUAGGAUGGGUGACCCUCUGGGAAGUUGGGGCAUCAUAGUUGGUAUCAGAGCCAAUUACUAGCCAAAUGUAUGAGAUGAGUUUCGACAGAGUCAGGGUCAGAAUAACAAGGCUAGCAAGGCGAGUCUCACAUCGCCUGAUACUUAUGAGUCUGAACCUGACAAAGACGUUAGGACUUAAAGAGGGGAAGAAUGUGAGACCCAAGAUAGUCCUAUAUAUAAGAUAUAAUAAGGCUAAAAACUCUUAAUCCGACUUAAAUAUUUUGAGUGGUGGCUAGGCUUAAGAGGUUAAGAGAGUUAAGCAUGCUAGGACGAAAGUAGUCCUACGAUGUGUGACCCUCAAGAAAGUUGCGGCAUCAUAGUGGGUAUCAGAGUCAAUUACCAGCCGUUGUGAGACGAGUCUCGGCUGAGCCAGGGUCGGAAUGACAAGGCUAGCGAGAUGAGUCUCACAUUGCAUGGUACUUGUGAGUUUGAGUCUGACGAGGACGUCAGGACUUAAAGUGGAGGGGGGGGGGAAAUGUGAGACGCUAGAUAGUCCUAUAUAUAAGAUAUAAUAGGGCUAAAGACUCUUAAUCCGGCUUAAAGUGGUGGCUUGCAUUAAGCGGUUAAGAGAGUUAAGCGUGUUAGGAUGAGAAUAGUUAUAGGAUGGGUGACCCCCUAGGAAGUUGAGGCGUUACACAUAACUGUGACAUUAAAACUAAAACAAGAAGCAUGUAUUCUUUCUUGUGUCAUAGAAGCUGACCAGAUUGGACCACCAAGAUUGAAUUACUGUACAUAGUGAGUGCACAGUUAGGUGACGUUUCGUUGGAGUAUAAGGGAAUAACCCCUAUCCCACCCUUUGUGGGGGAAUAGGGGUGGGAACAGUUAUUUCCACCCCUAUUUAAUUUCUAAAAAAAUUUAAAUUUAAAAUUUAAAAUUUAAUUUUUAAAUUUUAAAAAUUUAUAAUUUGUAAUCUUAAAAUUAAAAUUUUAUAAUUUUAAAUUCUGAAUUGGCUAAAUUAUAUAAAACCCUCUUGUCAAAACCUGAUUUUUCACUUUUCCCUCUGUCAUUUAAAAACCUACACUUUGCCCCCUUGUUAAAUGAAAAAUGUUCACAGGGGGGUACGGUGUGUAAAAUGAUCAUUUUGCCCCUCACCAUUUUCGUCUCCUCCCUCAUCUUCCUCAACAGCAGCCUCAAUCGGCCGCGGUUUACGCCUCAAUCGGCUGUGGUUUCUCUCCAUUUUCUUCUCCACCUGCUCCCCUCUUCUCCUGCACCCUUGCCGCCCCUUAAUUUCGGCGACAGCAGGGUGGAAAUCGAGGUCGGGAUGGAUGGAGAGGUGGGUAAUGGCAACGAAGGCGAAGGCGAGGUGGCAGAGGAGGGCGAAGGGGUGUUUGUGGGCGUGGACGAGGAUGUGGGCGAGGGCGAGGCAGUGAAGGAGGGCGAGGCGGCGAGGCGGCGAAGUAAGGAAAAGGGCGGAGGGGCAUUUUUGGUAUAAAAAAAUAUUUUAUAACGGAAUCCUAACAGAUCACUAACGGUAGGGGGCAAAGUGCACAUUUUUUAUUUUACAAUGAGGCAAAGUGUAGGUUUUUAAAUGAUAGGGGGCGGAAAGUGAAAAAUCGUGUUUUGACAAGGGGGUUUUCUGUAAUUUAGCCUUCUAAAUUUUAAAUUUUAAAUUGAUAUUUUAAAAUUUUUAAAUAUAAAAUUUGAUAUUUUAGAUUUUUAAUUUUAGAUUUAAUCUUAAAUUUAAAAUAUAAAAUAUGCAAAUUAGAACUUUGAAUUUUUGAAUUUGAGAUUAAAAAAUUUAAAUUUAAUUUUAAAUUUUUGAAAUUUAAAAGUUAUAUAUUUAAAUUUAAAAAUUUAAAUAUAAAAUUUUAAAAUUUAAAUUCAAAUAUAAUAUAAGGGAUAAUAUUAUUAUUUUUUAUUUAUAACUACGCAUUAUUUUUCUUAUUCCAUCUUAUCUAUCUAUCCGAAUAUUAUUUUUCUUAUUCUAAAAAAUAACUUAAUUUUUAUCCUAACACAAAAUUAGUUUAUUUUAAAUUUAUAUUUAAAUUUAUACUUAUUUUUUAAAUAG
rnacentral:lncRNA from 1 species